rnacentral:lncRNA from 1 species
AUAGCAAGAGAUGAAUCAUUAGAUUUAAUUGUGUAUAUACGUGCAAAAGAUGGCUUGAUCUUUCCAUCCUUGAUGGCUUGUAGAUAUUCCGGGCAGCUUCUCUUCCAAUGCCCUAUUUUGUGGCAAUGAUGGCACUCUGCCUCUUUUAGGUUAGGGUUGGGCUUAGCAGGAUCAACCUUGGUCCCACUAGAAGAGGAACCAUCUUAGCACUUUCCCUUGCGGUGGUUCUNCGGAGCCUUCUUGUUGUUGCCCCUUCCCUGCCCUAUAGCCAAAACAGGUGCAGCGGAUGGAUUGGGAGUUGGUGCAACAGACUUGUCCUUUAGGUUGCUCUCAGUAGUCCUUAGGAGCCCUUGGAGUUUGCUUAGGGUGACCUCUUACUUGUUCACGUGGUAGGUCAUCCUAAAUUGGUUGUAGCAUGAGGGCAAGGAGUGAGGAACAAUGUUGAUGGCCAAAUCCUCCCCAAGGUUAACAUUAAACUUGCGAAGACGGUCAAUAUAUCUCUGUAUCUUUUGCAAGUGCACGGUAAGAGAUUCUCCACUUCCCAUUUUAGCAGUGAUCAUAUUCGUGAUGAUCUCAUAGCGCUCUUGCCUCGCGCUUUGCUGGUACCUCUCCAUUAAGUCUUGAGGCAUUUCAUACGGAUACAUGUCCUCACAGGACUUUUGGAAUUCUUGGUUCAUUGUGGCUAUCAUGAUGCAAUGGACUUUCGUUGCAUCACUUUCAUGGGUCUCAAAGACAUCCAUCUCUUCGGGAGUAGCGAUUUCGGGGUUGACCUUCUCGAGCUUCUCGUCGAUGACAUACUCUUUGUCCUCACAGCGUGCGAUCGUGCGAAUGUAUCUUAUCCACUCGCUAAAGUUCAAUCCAUCAAAAGUCACCUUUUGGCAAAGACUCAUUAUCGUGAACGAGUUAGCAGCAGCGUUGUUUGCGUUCGACAUCUUCAAAUAGAAAGGACAAAGUUUGAUUAGAAUUGAAUCCCUAAUUAAACACCCAAAAUGAAAAAUUAGGGCUAGGACCCAAAAACAUUAUUCACAUAUUAGAAAAGGGAUGCCGUAAUCCAACACGCAAAUAAUUUGGAGGUAAGUGAAUGACGAUUCACUAAUUCUUCAUUGAACUUAAGUUUUAAAUGCAUUGAGAAUUCCUAGAUUUUCUUGGAGAUUCAUUGAACAUUUCAAUGGCGUGUUUAAAUCUCGAUAUGCCCUUCUCGUUUGUGACUGGGAUACCGAGGAUUACAAAGUGGGUGUGAAUAACCAUGCUAAUCUACACGGUGCCUUCAUUGUUACAAUCACCUAUUCGAUGUGCCGGUAAACCACACACGCUCCAUCGAACUAUGAUAAACACUGAAUCACCCUUUGCCACCUUUGCUUAGAACUAAUUAGUGUGCCGGUAAACUACACACACUCCACUAACUUCUUAGCAUGGGUGCAAAGUGUAAUUUCAUGGGAUUGCAUCAAUUCACUUUUGCCUAAAGUAACUAGGAUUGGGAAUUUGCAAAAACAUGUAGUUACUUUAUAUUUUAACAUUAUACUUUUAAUGAGAAGAGAGAGUUGCCAUAUCCUACCCGUUCGACUAACGACCCUCCACCAGUCAAGCAAGCGGUGGGUGUGAGUGUACACCCAUUAAGCGCCAUUUUAUAGGCAGCAACCUUAUACCCACCUUAUAGACCGGCUUCGUGAAUGAGGCCUACUAAUGGUAACACUAGCCUUUUAAUUAUACAUAUAUAUAUUCAUUAAGCUUUUAAUAAUAUAAUAGUAUAGGGUUGAAUUUUAAACUUGUAAAACUCUAGGGGUUGAAAUUUAAAUUCUUCUAAAUUAAACUUUUAAUCACAAAAUUCAAAUCUCAAAACUUCGGGACAAAUUUUGAACUUUUCAAAACUAAAGGGAUCAAAUAACAAAUAAUUAAAUAACUAAUUUCAUAAUUAUCUAUAUUUGACCUAAUCCAAUUUUAGUCAUUAGUUAAUUACCAAAUAAUUUUAAAUAGUCCAUAUUUAUCAUAUAAAUAACCAAUAUUCAAAAGAUUUGAAAUUAUCUAUUGUUAUGUCAAGGAUAAUCAUAAAAUUAAGUCAAAAUUCGGAUUUUAACAUAACAAAACCAUUUAGGUAUCAAAUCCAACAAAACAACAACAAAAUCCCGAAAUAUCCUCUGCCUGACGCUCGGACUUGCCGAGUCAGCUUUGGACUCACCGAGUAGGGCCAACUCGCCGAGUCCAGACACUGACUCACCGAGUUGGGUCGGGCAGAGGCCAAAAAAAAACAAUUUUUAGCAAGCAAAACAGUUAAGCAUCACAUUCAAUUGAAAACAAUCAAGGCUCUGAUACCACUGAUGGGUUUGAGCCAUAAGAACUUUCCUAUGUGCACAUGCAAACCCUAAUGCUUGGAUCUAGGUUUCUCUAAUUGAACAUGCUUUGUAUCCAAGACUUUGAAUCAUAGAUCUAGUGUAAACAAACAAUUCAUAACAUAUGAAAUCAGAUCUAGAAGAAUACCUUGAAUUACUUGCUAUCAAACUUCUUUUCCUUGGAGCUUAGAUUCACAAUUGUCACUCCUCUAAUGGCUUACAAACACCAACUAGCAAGAAGAUGAUUUGAGAGAGGGAGAGAGGUGAGAAAUCGGCUUUAGGGUUUCCUCAAAGAUAGAGUGUCCGAUUUCUCCAACCCUAAGGGUCUAUUUAUACUAUGAGCUCCUAGGGUUUCACCUUAAACCCUAAUUGGAUAACUUAGCAUCAAAGCAAUACAAAGAUCCUUCUAGAUAAGGCCUUGGAUGAUUUUUAAGAUAUCCAUAUCCUUAAAAUCGUCCCUUCCCAUAUCCACAAGGAUUCAUAGCCCUAAACACAACUAUCACAAAUUUGACAGUUUAUGCCUCUUUAUUCGAUUAAUAUCCUUAAGUCACCAAAUUAAUUUAUGACUUAUAUCAAUCAAAUAAUAUUAUUAUUCCUUUAACAUAUUAUUCUUAUAAUACAUUAAUAAUAAUAAUAUCUCUUCUCUCUAUAUAAAUCACCUUGUCAAGUUGUUAUGGUGAAGGCGACCCAAAAGGACCAUGCACAACCGAUUCAAGUACUUACCAAAUAUAGUUACAGCCUUAGACACUAAUCCAACAGUUAUCUGUUCGACACUAAGUCCAUAGCUGCCAAUAUCCAUUUAUACGACACUAAAUCCAUAGUUGCCAACGUUCAUUUGUAAGGCACUAAGUCCAUAGUUGCUAAUAUGUAUUUGUAAGGCACUAAGUCCAUAGCCGUCAGGGUUUAUCUAUUUGGCACUAAGUCCAUAGCUUCCAAUGUUCAUCUAUAUCAUCUUUCAUCUCUCAUCAUUUAUCUACCCAACUUUACCCAAUAUUUUUAAAGGUAUAAAAUACAUAUACAGUUUAAAUAAAAUGAAACAUGUAUAUUUUGGUCAUCCAGCAUAGAUAUCAAGAUCACAGAUAAUAUGCACACAUAGCACGUAAUUUAUAUUAAAUACUUCAUAUCUAUUUGUAAGAUGAAAGUAAAUAUGCACUCACUGGUUAAAGUGAUGACUCGAAAUUCGGACAGUGCUUCGCUUCUAACAAUCGUUUCCAUCGAUGAAACCCAAUAUUAUUACCACUAGAUUUUAGUAUAAUAUUUAUAGUGACUAUUUACGAGUGAUAUUGUUUUAUAAGUGUUAAAAAAUACCUUUCAACCACUAUGUAUAAACAGGGGCGAUGCAUGAAACACCGGAGGGCAUGACCAUUUUGGCAUUAUAGCACUUUAGAAAUCCAACAACCCUAUACGGCUCUUCAAACCAGAUUCCUCGUACCGCGAGUAGUUAAGAAAUAUUAUAAUAACACUUAAUAUAUAUAUANAACGUAAAAACACUAUUUUUAUGUUAUUAUUCUGCAAUGAAUUUUGUAUCCACAACUUUAUGUUAUUAUUCAACAAUGAAUAAACGAAUAGUCAUAGGUUAAACUACAAUUAGAAUUUACUACAAAAAUGCACAUACACAAAUUUAUAAUAGAAUAAUAACAUUCUAAUGAAUAUAUGAAUAAUCAAACGUUACUAUUCAAUCGAGAAUUAGUUCAACACUACACAUAUACAAUAUUCAUUACAGAAUAACAACAUAAACAUAGUGUUUUUACGUUGUCACACUAUUUAUUGUUUUUAUUUGAACUUACUUCUAUAUAUAUAUAUAUAUAUAUAUAUAUAUAUAUGUGUGUGUGUGUGUGUGUAUGUGUGUGUGUAUAUAUGNUAUAUAUAUAUAUAUAUAUAUAUAGUUUAUAAGUUCAUAAUAACGAUAAUAAAUUUAAGCCUAAGCUAUACUUAAAGUAGGGUAAGCAUAAAUCACUUACCUAGAGGUUUAGCUAGGAACCGGGCUCUGCAGGGGCAGAACUUCUAAGCCGAAAAGCUCUUUUUCUCAGAGCCUUCUAGCGCUCCAUGGCUUUCUUCUAGCACUUAGAAGUUACUAGGGCUUUAGGAGGGGUUUGGAGAGUGGUUAGAGAGAGAAAGAAGGGUUAUGGUUUUAAGAAGAAUGGCAGCCCUCGCAUCCGUUUUAUAGGCAGGAGGUACGUUGGGCGUACGAGGUUAAGCUGCGUGUAGUAGGGCCAGGUGGUGCAUUUCGGAUGGGGCGACGUGGAGGCUUCGGAGUGAAGCAUUACGAGACCGCGGGGCGUACUCACCCUCGCAACAGCCCAUCCCGACUUCUAAAUUCUCUAACUUUCGCAUACAAGCUCCAUUUUCGACGUUCUUUAUGUCCACGAAUAGGUGGAUACGUUCUCUACAACUUCCGUUUAGACUCCGUUGGCUAAUUUUGACUUUAUUUUUAAAGUUAUAUUUUAACAGGGCUGAACAGGUAAAGUCCGUUAAAAGUUCAUAACUUUGUCAUCCGACGUCCGUUAUUGUCAGUUUUUUUACUGUUGAGAUCCUAUUAAUGGCAUCUUCGAUUCUUGUUUAGGCUGUGUCGGAUAGAAAUAAGUUGAUCUAAAAUUCAAAUUCCGGGCUGCAUACUGCUAUGCCAAAUCUUAGAAAAAUCAUAACUUUCUUAUACGAUGUCAGAUUUGGAUGUUCUUUUUAUGCACGCUCUCGGUUUAACAUAUACUAUAACUUUCGUUUAGAUCCAUAAGGCUAAAAAGUAAUUUAUCAAAAGUUCACUUCUUACGUUACACGGUGUUGAACCGGUUUAGCCGUAAAACUUCGAUGGGUCAUAACUUAUGCGUUAUAACUCGGAUUUUAGCAUUCUUUAUAUGUACGGAACCUUUGAAACAUAUACUAUAACUUGGGUAAGAUUAUUUAUCCUAAAUAAUAUUCUAUCAAAAAGUUAUUUUUAACGCUUGUUGUCUCUAAAUUGACUAGCCCGAAUCUGCUGACGUUAUACUCUCCCCAUGAACUACUAUCUCUCCCCCAGUUGGAGUCUAAACCCGAACCAACUGCUGCUCAAAUUCGAUCACUACCCCAUUAGGGCUCAACCAAUGCAUGCCCACUAUAACUUUGUUUCCACACAAAAGAAUGGGAACCAAAUCAAUCGGAUACUGCUCGCUGAAUAACUAGAGAGUACAACCCCGAUAACCCUCGCUACUAGAAUAAACCUAUCAUCGGCAAUCUCGAGAUCUAGAGGACAAUCCAGCUCCCCCAUAGCUCCAAAAAAUCUCUUUCUUAGCAUAAGCGAUACAAACAAUCAGAUAGCUCCUGAUCAGAUAAUACCAAUGCAAAAGUAUCGUUCGCAAGGAACGAUCCUAAAAUAAAACACACAAACACAAGCAAGCAAUUCAAUAAAAAUAAAGAGAUACGGAGAAGAUACAUACCCGUAACCACAUCAAGAGCUGCACGUGCCUCCUCGGUCGUCAAUUGUAAAGCCUUGCUCUUCACCACAGGUGUGUCUGCCCGGUCCUGGCGGCCGUCGAUAAUCUUAAGAGUUGCGGGAGCAGGUGUUGACACCGGUCCUGCUGUAGCCAAACUCGGAAAAUGGGCCUUCUUGUGGCCCCUCUGAUUGUAAUGAAAGAAAAUUAGCUCGCACAUGAAGCAGCCAUAACCACCCACCUUGCACGUCCACUAGUGCGACCUGUCGCACUUACUGCAGCGGCCUCGGCCCUGCUGGCCCUUCCCUCUCGUAUCAACAACCUUGGGCCUUUUACCCAAACCCCUAAUACUUGAACCUCAUCUGGCUUCCUCUUCCUCUCCAUCCUAAGAUCAUUCUCCCUCUCUCUAGCUCUCUCUAUCAUAUCCUCCAACGUCCUACAGCUGGAUCGGGUCACAAACUGCCGAAUGUCACUCCUCAACAUCUCACGAUACCAGGAGUUCUUCAUCUCCUCAUCCGCCACAUACUACGGAACCAGAAGUGCCUUCUCCCAGAACAUCGCGGUGAUCUCAGCCACCGUCUUCGUAAUCUGGCGGAGAUACUGAAACUAUCAUGCUAACUGCUGCACCUCAAUCACUGGUGCAAACUCAGCUCGGAACUUGGUUAAGAAAUCAUCCCUGACAUCACAUCAACAACAUCGCCACUCACUGCACGUCCUACCUCCUCCCACCACUCUCGUGCCCUGUCCUUUAAAAGGUAGGAAGCUAGUCUAACCCUGUCCUUCCCGGGGCAAUGGCUGGUGCGGAAAGUGUUAGCAACAUUCGCUAACCACCUCCUGCUCGCUAUCGAGUCCUUCACCCCAUGAUAAUUCGAAGCUCCAUAGGCCCAAAACUCCUUUAAGUUCAAUGAAAGCGCCCCAACCAAAUCCACCAUCUCUGAGCAAAUAGUGCUUAACAGCUCAUCCAGAAUCUAUAGAAUGCCCUCCUUGACCGUGCCAAAGAUCAUAGGAGUAUGCUCAAGGAUAUUAUGCGUAAUCUCAAACAGGAUGAACUCCCUCGUCUGGUCAUCUAGCUGCCCAGCUCCAAAUCCUAUGCCCGAGCUCUAUCCAGCACUAGAACUGCCAACAGGUCUGCCUCGCAAUGUCACCAUACUGAAAAUAGAUCAGAAAAACCAUCAUAAUACACAUCAAUAUAUAUAUAUAUAUAUAUAUAUAUAUGGAGGGAUCUCUUNUAUAUAUAUAUAUAUAUAUAUAUAUAUCGGGGAAUCACAAACUCCACAAGCUCCAUGGUUUCAUCGCAACACUCCUUAAAUCGAGUACGAAUCCUAUGCUUCCAGUAGUAUGGGUCUAUACUACCUUCCACUUCUAUCCGUACUUCGCGCAAGGAUUGCCUUGACUCCACCAAAUCACUUUAUAUCCAUACAAUUACCCCUCUCAGAUAAGGCUCCCAACACUAGAUCUAAUCCUAGGUUUUCUUAGGGAAAACUACACACCACUGUCUGCCCUCAGCUGUAGAAGGAAUUCCCGAGCAGUUCCCCUUGGAACUGGAAGUACCUGCCACAUAAACUGAAAACCCUAAGCAUGAAGCUUAGUGAGAUCCCUAAGAUACCACAUACCAAAUUAUACAACACAUAACGGGACCCGCCCAAAGAAUAUAACAGGCCCCACCCUAACUCACAUAAUGGGCCCCGUAUAAUGAGUAUAACGGGCCCCGCCCUAACUCAUAUAACGGGCCCCGCCCUAACUCGCAUAACAGGCCCCGUCCACAUACAAUUCCUACUACAUGAUCAGUAAUAGCAUACAUAAUAGUCAUCGAGCCCUGCCCAGUAAGCAUACAAGCACAUAUACAUACUAGUAUCACAUAGACAAUGGGUAUUUGAACAUAACAGAUCAUGGGUUAGCAUUGGUACCUUCAACCCGCUACACAUGGUGAAGAACUCACCUCAGACUGGUGAAUAACACCGAUAAUCCCUGUUUGCUAGUCCAACAAUUCCCCGAACUAUCAAUAUAAAAUAACACCUAUUUAACAAUUGGUUUCAAAUCUAUAUCCUUCAAUCCAUACUUUGGGUAAAAAUGCCAUUUUACCCCUUACCUAGUUUGGUCCAAGUCUAAAGCCCAAACUUUCAAUAUAAAAGGCCCAAAAACCAAUUAUCCAACUAAGGCCCAAUUUUCUAAAUUGGGCCCAAAUCCAUACAUGGACCUUACCCUAAGGCGCAACAGUUUUUCCUAGGCCAAAUACUUGCAUUCAGGUGGCCCAUUAAUGCGCCAAGCAACUAAGCCCAAAAGAAAGCCCAAACUCGAAGCCCAAACAUGCGAGGCCCAACAGACUUAGUAUAUGAGGCAUACUCAGCACAUACACGCAUCAUACUUGGUUGAAGUCUUAUACGCUAAGCGUACUUGCUUGUAUGCCCAACGUACUCACCCCUUCAUCCCAAAACUUGAUUUGAACACUUAAUCCCUUAAGACAAAGCUCCAAAACAUAGAUCUGACUUUCUUAAGCUAGAUUAUCACAUAAAGUUGCUAACUUUACGUUCAUGCAUCGCUAAAUGAAGCUCUUAAGCUUAAAAAGGACUUAAUAAGUUACUUAAUGCAUGCAUGUGACCAAAAAUCCCAUAAAGCUUGCACCUUUAUGCUUAAGGAAUCCAAUACAAACUCAUAUAUCUUAAACAACAAGCCCUUAAAACGUCUUAACUCUUCCAGCAACCCAAAAAGGGACCAAAAGCAUAACAAAACAAACUUUGAGGAGAUCUAAACAUUUAGAAGCCAAGAUUUAAACUUGAUACUUCAGAAAGAUUUCAUAAAAGAUGAGGAUUCUGGAUCCAAAACCUCCUCACCAAGCAAGGCAACUUCAAGCUUUUUUAUUUUCUUCACAAAGGCAAAAAUGGAGGCUAGUAAAGAUGCCAUCCAUGAGGACUUAAGGCCUUUGUAUAGGGCGCAACACCCUAAAUUAGGGUUUGAACAUAUCUCAUGUACACCCUGCGUACAUAAAUAUACGCCCAACAUACAUGUCCGGAGUCCCGACCCAACCUCGCAUCAGUACGUUAAGCGUAUCAAGUGGUACACCGCACAUACUCUCAUUAUAGUUUGUACGCUAAGCGUAUCAUGUGGUACGCCCCGGGUCCUGCCCAAGGACCAAAAUGCAACUUUUAUAAUAACAAGGACAAUAAAGAAACAUACUAGGAUUUAAGUGUUCCAUAUAUGUAUGUAUAUUGUUUUUAUUACGUACAGAUAUCAUAAAAUUAAACCUUAUUUUGUAUAGUCGUCGAGAAAGGUCUCGAUCAUUCCAUCAUCAACAUCCAUAUGUUUUUUCAUAUUUUGAGGAUUCAAAUCGACAAGAUCUAAACUAGGGUGUGCAUAAAUUAACAAAUCCAAUUGGAACAGAACGAUCCAAUUAUGAACCAACCGAUUUGGAUUGGAUAUCCAAUUAUAAUUGGAUUAGAUCAUAUGCAAAAUUUGAAAUCAUUUAGAUUGGAUUUUUUAUUGCAUCAUCCUGAAAAUCCAAUGGAUAACCGAACAGAUCCAAUUGGAUAUCAAUGUUAAUCUAAUAAAUAUCCAAUAUUAUUUGGUCGAACUUUGAACCUUAGGCAUUGAAGUUGAAGACUUGAAGUUAAUGUUACUUUGUUGGUCUUAUAUAACACAAUGAUAUGUGAUUUUAUUUUUAGUUAUCAUACUUAUAUUUGGUUAUUCGAUAGAAAGAGAUUAGAAAUGGUUGGAUAAUGGAUACCGAUUUAUUAAAUCAAUAAAAAUAUCUAAUGGAUACAACCCAUCAAAUCCAACAUCUAAUUGGAUCAUUUAGUUUGUUUUUUUAAUACCGAAUCGAAUUGGAUCGGUUGAAAAAAAAAAUCCAACAUCCAAUAGAUUAUUGGAUUGUUAGUUCUAUCAAAGUAUAUUGGAUUUGAACUGAUGAACACCCCUAUUCUAAACAAACCAUUGAUAAUAUUUUGCUCCACGGAAAUCAGGAAUAAGGCAUUAAGCCCCACUAUGAUGAUCAUAAUAUCAACAGGAAACAAAUAAGUAUAACAAUAAGGUAAAUAUACAUACUUAUACAUUAACAUAUGGUUCAAUUAUAUAAAUAAUAUAAGUUUUUUUACUUAAAAACAUGGUUUGGUUGUAAGAAAUGUUGUAUAUAUGUAAGUAUACGGUUUAAAUAAAAUAUAUGUAUUUAUAUAUGAAAUAUGAUUUUUAUAUGAAUAAAUACGUGCAUAGACAUUUAAAUAUGUAUUUAUACACAAAAAAACACAUAUUUAUUUAUAAAAUAUUUUUUAUAUGUAAAUAUAUGUUUUACAUAAAUAUCAUUAUAUUAAUACGUAAUAGAGCAUAUUUAUAUUAUGUAUGAUUAAUGAUAAAAAAAAUAUGUAGAAAGUUAAUAAAAGUAAAGAAUAAAUAUGUCUAAAAAAUAUUGAUUAAAUAUGUAUUAAAUAAUUAAUGACUAGUGAAGUAUCCCAACUUUGCGGGGGUUGGAUAUGCAUUCGAGUGUUUGCAAAAGUAACUUAAGAUGAAUAUUUUAUUUAUUUAUAGAUUGACGUGGAAGUCGCUACGGUAGUAAUGCAAUGCACGCAUGAACGGUCCAUUGGAAAACAACAAAAGCACAUGUCCAAAGGAGAAAGUAUGCAAUUCAAUACCAAGGAAAUUUGUGACAAAUAAUAUAUCUUUAGUCUCGUAAUAUACAAUAAAGAAAAUCUAAAGUCUAUUUUAAUACAAAAAAAUUGAAAAAAAAAAAAAUACUUACCAAGCUAUUCAAUGUAGUGUCAUCAAGCAGAAACACAACAAUGAUAUUAAGAGUGAAAUGAACUAUAUAAAACUCCACUAAACAAAGAUAGAUAUAGACAUUAAAAAGAAACAUUCAAACAUUGAAUGCAAGAAAAUAACAAUGUAAAUUAAUUUAUGUUAAGUAAGUAGAAAAAAUCAAAAAGAGUAUUCACAUCUAUCUUUGUUCCAAAAUGCAUACCUAACUUUUCAAGCUUAAUGACUUACCUAUAGUUGCAAACUUUGCUACUUCUCAUGAUUUGUCCUUUAUCCAACUCUUUGACAUCCUUGUGAGUCUUCUUUCGCUUGGCCACGAUAUCUGAAUCAUAUUUUAAAAUAGUCACACACUUAAAAUAUGUAAAAAAAAAAAAGUCAAAAGUCUCAUUUUGGGUGAAGUAAUCUAUUUUAUCCACUCAAAAAGUCAACAGUCACGGUUACUUGCAACAAAUUGGGUAGAGCCUUAUACCUGCAAAAGUAAUGUCAUCAAAUUAAAGAAUGCAUACUUCAUUGUCUUCUGCACACAAUACAACAGUAGAUAUAGAAAUUAAGAAUCAUAAUCAUAAUUGUUAAGAAUCUAAGGGUAUAUUGAUUUAUACAACCAAGAGAUUCAAGAAAUUCAUGGAACUGAAACUUGAAUACCAUAGAAAAUCAGGAGAAUGUUCCAAGAAAAAUUACUAUUUGUGUUUCUUGUAUUAAUGUCGACUAAAAUACCACUAUGAUGAUCAUAAUAACAAAAUCAAAAUCAACUAAAGUACAUUUCUAUUUCUUGUAUUAAUGUCGACUAAAAUACCAAAACCAUUAUUUUAUUUAGAAACUUUAUGUGAGGCAUUGGCCUUAAUCUAGUUAUGUGAAGCUUUAAAUUCCUUUACAUCACCCACCCAAUGAAGACCAUCCAUUAAAUGUUGUUCUUCUGAAGCAUUACGACCAACUUUUCGUGACUGUGAACUGAAAUCAUGGAAUAAUUUAAUUUAUUAAUAAAAGUUUAUAAUUAGUAGUGUUUUGAUAGUUUAGUCGGGUACAAACAAUGUAAUUAGAUAAAUGGGUAACAAAACAGUUAAUGUAGUGUUUCUCCAAUGCAUUCUGUAAUAAGACCCUUUUAAGAAAUGAAAAUAUUAGCGGAAUCCUCGUCAACUAUGACAUUUGAUUCCAUAAAAAGUAAAAUAAAAAAAGAUUAAAAUAAAAGUAUAACACUUUGAAUAUUUUUGGAAGCAACAGAUGCUAUUAAACCAACAAUAAAAUAAUAUAGAAAGAAUUUAGGAAACAACAUUUGUUGUUAGAUCAACUAUAAAACAAUGGAAAAAAUAUUUAAAUAAAAGUUAGAAAACACAGAAAAAGACCAAUGUAAAUUGUAAAUAUUGGUGUGUGACUUUUGUGUAGAUUUAAGUUUAUGGAACCAACAUGUCUUUGCAUGCCUUACAUACAACAUUUUCAAUAAGUCAUUGUAUGGCCACCAAUUGAUGAGUUAUUGUGUCAGUUGUUGGUCAAAUAGCUCUAAACAAAUGUUUAGGUUUGUAAUAUAGCCCUUCAUCUGUAUAAGAAAAGUUGCACAUUAAUAAGCAAAGAUGAAGUAAAAUGGAAAACAAAAUGGACAGGAUCCACAUAUGAAGGUAUUUCAGUCAAUAACCCAAAAAAAAAAAAAAACAUUUUUAAGCUAUCCAUGUGAAUUUUUUUUUAACUACACGCAUUUUUUUUUAAACUUUUGUAGUGAACGAAAGUAGGAUGCUAUAUUAGGAAAAUACAAAGAAAAAAAUCAAAGUACGUUACUACCUCUUACACCAAAAACCAAGUGUCAGUUUGGCCAUGUGAAGGUCCUUUUUCCCCUUCACUUCAUAGAUUUAGAUAUUUACUGAAUUAGUUAUCCUUAUGUGUUGUUAAUUUCUUCUUUGAAUCAAAUUGAAGAACAUACUAUCUUUUUAAAUUUAAAUUGCACUUAUCUCUAACAAUAAUUUUAAAAAAGUCAAAGAGUUUACCACCAGGUACUCCUAAUAGUUCACAAACAGAAAAAUGUUGCAGAUUCUACUAACAGAAACCAUCAAAAUUUGCAAACUACAAUAUAGAUAUUAAAGUUUUUAAGUUCACUAAUUAUAUUAAAGUUUUUAACGUCAUUAAUUGAGAAAAGAAGAGGUUAAUGGGAGCGUGAAUUUUUUAAUUCAAACAUAUGGAAAGAAAGUUAGAUAUAAGGUGAAACAUGGUAAGAAUAUCCACUAACAUGUACACACCAAUUAACAUAAAAUACUUGUAAUUUAAUUUAUAAUUGACAAAGAAGUGGUAAAAUGAGGGAAAAGGACAUAUUUUGCCAAUUAGGACAUGACUAGGAAUUGAUCUAACAUUCUCAUCAGCCUUUACAUGCCAUUUAAAAACAUUAAUUGAGACAGAAAAAAAGGAAGGACAAAUAGGUAAAUGGUUUGCGUCUGAAAGCAUUAAGCCGGGCAUUUGGCUUAACCCAUUGAGUCAUUUUCUCAAAUGAAUGUACAUAUUAACUCUUUAAACCGUUAAGCCAAUUAAGUCUUAAGAAACAACCCCUAUGUCUUGUUCCAAUUAAGUCUAUUAACUUAAAAAAGAAAGCAAAAAUAAGAUUGAAAUGUUGCUAAAAAAAGAUUUUCUCCUUAAUACGACGAUCAAGUUACUUUCCAUGUAAAAAAAAUUGGCAGAACAUCAAGAAAUAGUCAUUUUUUCGUAAAAUAAAAAAAAAAAGAUAAAACAGGGAUUAGAUGGCAUACAAAAUGAAAAAAAAGUAUCUUGUUACAAUCUAAGAGCAAUAAAAGGCUUGCUUUUCUCAUUUCAUGAAACAAUUAUUUUAUUGACUCGAGUUGUUGUGUAAGCCUAUAAGGAUGUAAAUAGCAUUUUUUUUAUAAGAAUCACAUCAAGGAAGUUAAUACUAAUAUUACAUGUAUCCUAUCUAUAGUAUAUGAUGUGGGUAUUAGUGAAUCAUUGAUAAACAAACAACUGUCAUAAAUAAAACUCCAAAUAAAAAACCUUCUAGCAUUAAAUAAAUCCUUGAGUUCAUGAUGAAAUAUUUUAAUCUUCUUAACAAAUGCUUCAUUGUAUUCACCAGAAUUCUAAGGUAUUCUUUCAAGCGUUGCAAAGUAACUGAUAUUUCUAACUAAAUUAAUACCUCAGAUAUUCCAUAAAAGAAUGAAGCAAACCUGGUGGAUAAUAUCACUCAUUACCUACUUAUACUCACUUAUACUCUUCCAUGGAGACAUACUUAACAAUAAAAACUUCCGAUUCCUGAAAAAAAAUGACCACAUGCUUAGAUUUUUGUAACAACUUCAUUAAAUUUUGGUUCCCAAAUUAGAAAAAUAUUCGAGUUAUCCAUCACCUUAAGAGUAUAAUGCUCCAGGGGAACUAAGGAUACUGAUGUCAUAAGAUAAACAUUGUCAAAUUCAUUCUUUUGGAGAAACUGAUAAAAAAAUAUGCGGUAAAAUUCGAUCCAUGUAACUUUCAAAACGUUUUCGAUAAUCUGGAAUGAGAUAUGAAAGUUUUGUGAGUGCUCAGUUCUAAGUAUUUUUUUCCCCCAAUUUCCAUGCUAUUGGUAGAAGUCUAUACAUAAAGGAAAAUGAUUUGUCACAAAAAAAGGAUAGAAGCAACAAAGGAAUCUAUGCAAAAAUAAUUUAGUUACAAUACCUCAUUAUCAUUUUUAAUGCUAACAAUAGUGGUAUAUUGAUAAAUAGAAAAUUAAGAUAAAAAUAAACCACAAAUUUUUCUCUAAUGCAUUUCAUUGAGUAUGUGGCAGAAAAACUUGAAGUGAAUUUGAAACAACAUGUGUGCCAUGGUUAGGAAGAGUACAACAAUUAUUUCCUAAUAGGAAAUUGUCGGAUAGUAACUCUGGUACCUACUAUAUGAAUUGAAAAAUAACAAAAGUUGAACAAUGCGUGUCUUGUUUGAUUUCGAUUAAUUUUUGAUAAAAAUGCAACAUACCGGAAAGGGGUUUAGUUGUUGGGUAUGACGAUGGACCUUUGAAGAUGGCCAUUGUUAGCGUCACCAGCUCCACAGUUAGCCACCAGUGUUUUAUAGAGUUUUCAAUCGUUGCGAUAGUCGAUAGGUUCGUUUUAAGAGAGAUAAAGCGAGUAGAUUAAUGCCAAUCCCAUUAGGCAGACUUCCAUUUGUUGUAGACUUGGUGGAGGCGACUGCAACCACCGUUGACGGCGUUUGGCUGGUGCGACAGAUGGGAGAACGGUUGAUACGUCGCCGAAGGAGAGGUUGGGGUGGAAAGUAUUUUGAAAAAAUGUUCAAGGAGUGAGACUGUGAACGAUAUUUAUGGUAUUGGGUGAUACAGGCGGUGGAUCCUUUGUUGUAUUCUUCGUAUCGAAACGGUGGCAGGUGGGAGAGAAACGGUGAUGAAGAUAGAUAAUCGGUGACAAUAUUCAAACGAAACACGUAUCAGGUUGAUCUCCAGAGGUCAACACGUGUACAAUGAGGGUCUCCGAUCAAAGGGGUGGGCGGUGGGUUGUCUGAGGAGAUAACACGUAAACAAAAAAAGAGAUUAAAUAAAAAAAUCAACCAAUACAAAGAAGUUGCUGCUCUAAAAGAAUCAAACUUUUCAUGUAUGAUUAAUUCUGGACUAAUCAUUUUAGUUAUUUUAAGAAAGUAAUUAAUGUAUAUUAAAUGCUGAAGAUGUGAUUAAUAUCCAUUAUAUCUUCAACAUGUAAUAUGCAUUAAUUACUUUUUUAAAAUAACUAAAAUGAUUGGUCCAAAAUCAAUCAUACAUGCAUACAAUAGAUAGUGAAAACAAAAUAACCUAACCCUAUAUAUAUAUAUAUAUAUAUAUAUAUAUAUAUAUAUAUNUAUAUAUAUAUAUAUGGGUGAGAUCCGUUGAGAACUCAUAGUUUUCCGAGAACCUGAUAACUAAAGGUGGAACGUUGGAUUAAAAUUAAGUCAUUAAGGACAUGAUCGUCAUCAUACAAAUCCCAUUUAAUCAUUUGUAUUAUUGGAAAUAUUAAUAAAAAGCUCUCAAAUUAACAUUAAAAAACAAAUUUCCAGAUUUUUUUAUAAAAAAAAAAAAUUAUGUUUUUUUAUUGCAGAUUUUUUAAUUUUUUUUAGAAAGCAUAAAUUUAAAAAAAAAAAAAAAGUUGAAUUUUUUUUUUAAAAACUGCAUUUUUUUAAGAAACAUAAAAUUUUUAAAACUUAGUAAAGUUAUAAAAAAAAAACUUGAAUAUUUAAAAAAAAAAACCAAAAAAAUCAAUGUUUUAGGAGUAUAUAUACAUAUUUUUUCAAGUACAUGUAUACAUAUUUCUGAUGGGUUUGAGCCACAAGAACUUUCCUAUGUGCACAUGCAAACCCUAAUUGCUUGGAUCUAGGUUUCUCUAAUUGAACAUGCAUUGUAUCCAAGACUUUCAAUACUAGAUCUAAUGUAAACAAUUGAUUCUAAUCAUAUGAAUUAGGAUCUAGAACAAUACCUUGGAUUACUUGCUUGAUACUUCUUCUUCUUGGAGCUUAGAGUCACAAUUGUCACUCCUCUAAUGGCUUACAAACACCAACUAGCAAGAAGAUGAUUUGAGAGAGGGAGAGAGGUGAGAAAUCGGCUCUAGGGUUUCCUCAAAGAUAGAGUGUCCGAUUUCUCCAACCCUAAGGGUCUAUUUAUACUAUGAGCUCCUAGGGUUUCACCUUAAACCCUAAUUGGAUAACUUAGCAUCAAAGCAAUCCAAAGAUCCUUCUAGAUAAGGCCUUGGAUGAUUUUUAAGAUAUCCAUAUCCUUAAAAUCGUCCCUUCCCAUAUCCAUAAGGAUUCAUAGCCCUAAACACAACUAUCACACAUUUGACAGUUUAUGCCCCUUUAUUCAAUUAAUCUCUUUAAGUCACCAAAUUAAUUCCUAAUUAAUUUAUGACUUAUAUCAAUCAAAUAAUAUUAUUAUUCCUUUAACAUAUUAUUCUUAUAAUACAUUAAUAAUAAUAAUAUCUCUUCUCUCUAUAUAAAUCACCUUGUCAAGUUGCUAUGGUGAAGGCAACUCAAAACGACCAUGCACAACCGGGUCAAGUACUUACCAAAUAUAGUUACAGCCUUAGACACUAAUCCAAUAGUCACCCACUUGGAUAAGUCUAGUAACUAUAUAUGCAAAAACAAUCUGAUUAGUAAUCGUAGCUCUCAGAUACGCUGUCAAACUCUGAUCUUAUCAGUAUCCUGUCCUUUAGAUAAGGGAUCGUAUAGUCCUCUGUUUAGAUAUUAUGCGGGCAAUCUUAUGGAACUUAUUGUCCAACAAUUGGUUUCUCGAUCUUAGAUUCAUUUGACAUAGAACUUAAUUGAACACAUCAAUUCAGUCCUGACCGGGCCCGACACAUAUGUCAAAUCAAAUCAUCGAGGGGCCCUGAUAUCGCUUUUACCCUCUUAGGAUAAAAGUAACAGAUAAACUUCGACUUAUAUGCAUUUACUAUUUACUAAUCAAUCAUACACAACAAUGCGUUUUAUGACAUCAAUUUACUGAUGCGGUUUCACAUUAUCAAUGCACAACCAAUUAAUAAACAAUAAACCAUAUAUCUUGGUUUUAAGACCAUAUGAUAUUAUCGUCUUGCGAUCACUUGUGUCUCAUUCCAAAAAGUGAUUCCAGCAAGCGCGGGUUUAUUCCAAUGCUUAAAACUUAUUCAUAAGCACUCAUGAACGUUGCUGCAAACUUUUUCUAUAUCUAAUACCUUUUAGACAAUCUUCACACCAAUUCACAACAAUCUUCAUUCAUACCUACUCCCAACAUAUGAACGAUUGUGGACCAUUUGAAUAAUUCGAUUAUUCUUAAUAACUCAAUUAUUCAGGAAGUCAAAACAUGCAAAAUGAAACAAUAGUUAAGCAAUUAACAUAAGACUGUAGCUUUACUCAUAAAUUAUACUCCUUUAUUUAGUCAUCAAAUGUCAAUUACAUUUAUUUAUUACAAGUUUCCAAACUAUCUAAUCUAAACUAAUAUCAUCCUUCAGCCCAAUACUCCUAGCAUGCUGCAAGUGCUUAACCCUGCUUAGUCCCUUCGUAAGCGGAUUUGCUGGGUUAUCUUCUGAUGAUAUCCUCUUAACCACGAGGCGUCCUUCUACUCGAUGUCUAAUAAAGUGAUAUUUUAUGUCGAUAUGCCGAGAUCUACCAUGAUCCCUCGGUUCCUUGGUCAAGGCAACCGCUCCUUCAUUAUCAUAGAAAAUUUCCAUAGGCUCCUUUAUGGCAGGCACAACUCCAAGGUCACCAAUGAAGUUCUUCAGCCAUAUCACCUCCUUUGACGCUUCGCUCGCUGCAAUAUACUCUGAUUCACACGUUGAAUCAACUACAGUUUCCUGCUUGGAACUUUUCCAAGUUACUGCUCCUCCAUUAAGGGUAAAGACCCAGCCUGAAUGCGAAUGGUAGUUGUCCCUGUCGGUCUAGAAACUGGCGUCACUAUACCCUCGCACCUUUAAGUCAUCACUCCUUCCGAGGACUAGAGACCAUUCCUUGGUCCUCCGAAGGUACUUAAGGAUAUUCUUAACCGCAAUCCAAUAAGAUCUGCCAGGGUUCCCUUGAUAUGUACUGACCAUGCUCAAAGCAAAGGCCACAUCAGGGCGAGUACAAGUCAUAGCGUACAUGAUUGAGCCAACUACAGAAGCAUAGGGUACUCGGCUCGUCUCAGCUAUCUCGACUUCUGUACUCGGACUUUGAGUCUUACUCAAUUUGUCAUUACUCUGUAUCAGUAGUUCUCCCUUCUUCGAUUUUUGCAUACAAAACUGUUGUAGUACUUUAUCCAAGUAAGUAUUCUGACUAAGUCCUAUUAGUCUCUUACUUCGUUCUCUCACUAUCCUUAUUCCCAAAUUAUAGGAAGCCUCUCCAAGGUCCUUCAUAGCGAAGCACUUCCCGAGCCACGACUUAACCUUCUGCAUAGUCGGGAUGUCGUUUCCUAUGAGCAGUAUGUCAUCGACAUACAAGACGAGGAAGCUAACUAUACUCCCACUAGCCUUGACAUAUACACAUGAUGUGUAACAACUCGAACUCCAGGUUAGCUUUAUGGCCCUUCUAUUUUGAUGAGUUGGCAUUUUAGUACCUUGAAGUUGAAAAGAUGAUUUGGAGAGUACGCUGGGCGUACUGGGGAGUACGCCGCGUGUACUCAUGCGCUUAAUUCAUACGCGUGUUCAUCCGGGUACACUGGGCGUACCCAAGGUUACGCCGGGCGUAACCGGCCCAAAUGCAAAACCCUAAUUUGUGGCCUUGCACUAUAAAAAGAACAUGUAGUCCUUUUCCCUAGCCACCAUGCACCCUUGAGAGAACCCUUAGAGAGCUGAGAUUCGUGCUUUAGCUGGUGUGUGAGUUUUUGAGCUUGAAGUUGUCUUUGCAAGGUGAAGAAGGAGAAGAGGAAGCCAUUGUUGGAGCUAGAAGUUGAAGAACGAGUAUAGAUCUGAGUUCUUCGGUGGUUGGAGAUCCUUCCUGAGGUAAAAAGCUCAAAGCUUUCCUUGUUCUUCAUAAGCUUUGCUUGUUGGACCAUUUGUUAGGGUUUUGGUUCAAAGUUGGAGACUUAUCCAUGAGUUUGGAUCUGAUGUUUUCUAAUGUAAAAUGUAUUGAGGAGUCAUAAAAAUCGAGUCUUGGACGUGGAUCUUGUGGCAUGCAUGAGUUAUAGUCACAUUAUGGAAAGAGGAAGGGUGUUUUGAGCACAAAGUGAUCUUUACAGCCAUGCAAAGGCUUAAAGGUUCCAACUUUAUGGUUUAAGACGUAUUAGAGGGGUCAGAUCUGAAGUUUGGAUGCAAGUCUUAACCGUUUAAGACCCGAAUAAGCUGAACAAAGAAAUUGGCCAUUACGCUGGGCAUAAUCCCAGUACGCGCCGCGUAAGGGGUUGCGUACCUUAUUUCUAGAAGCAAGAGUACGCCCCGCGUAGAGGAGCUGGUAUGCCCCACGUACUGCUUGCUGUUGACUUUUGUUGACUUUUAGGGUUUUAGUCAACAUGUGGACUUUUGGGGUCAGGGAGGGGUAAAAUAGUCUUUUACCCUUCUAUGGAAUUUAGAAGGAAUAUGGUAUAGCCUUGCGAGCCGUUAUUGAUUUAGAAUGAUUCUUUGAUGUGAUUAGGUGAGGCUAGGUCAAGGUUACGAGAUUCAGAAAUAUCGAGCACGUGAGACUUAGACAUCAUACGAGGUGAGUCUUCUCACUAUACUGUACCUGGAAGGGUAUCUAUGUGUGACCGGAAGGUCUGGUAUGCUAUAAGAUAUAUGCAUUAUAUGUGAAGUUGCCUGUUUUGUAUGCGUUAUGUAUGCUAUGCUUGAUAUGGGCCGGAAGGCAAUAUGUUAUGGGCCGAAAGGCAUCAUGCUGUGGACCGGAAGGUCAAGGAUUUAUGGACCGGAAGGUCGACACAGGUGGGACCGGAAGGUUUACCGGGUCGGGACGGAAGUUCCCUGAGACACAUGGACCGGAAGGUCAUGGCCUGGAAGGGCGUAUGUGUGUAAGUGGUAUAUUGGGGAACUCACUAAGCAUUUAUGCUUACAAUUGUUGUGUUAUGUGUUUCAGGUACUAGCAAGGACCGUGGGAAGGCGCCGACAUGACUCGUACACACACACGCAGUCGGAUUUGGAUUUGUUUGUUCUUGGGGUUGUUGAGUCUAUUGGGUUGCGUCAUGGCUCAGUCCAUAGCCUAGUUUGAAUGCCGGUAUUGGGCCUAUCCAGACGUGCAUAAUUUUGUAUUAGGGUUUAGUAUAUAAGUUGCAUGCAUGCAGACUUAGAACUCAUCGCUUUCAUUGUUUUUGUUUCAUAUCUUCUGUAAACCCUAGCUCGCCUCUGCAACGGAAGUUCCUCAUCGAGCUCUGCUGAGGCGUGACUCAGUUUUGAAUCAUAAGCAUAAGUUUGAUUAUGUUCUGUGUUCAUUCUCAUAUUGAUCUUAAACUGUUUGAUUACUUUUGUUACACUUGUGAAAGAUCUAUUCGAUCUAAGAGUUUUAAACUCAUCAAUUGGUAUAAGAGCAGGAGAUUGUGUAAUCCAUACACACCUCUUCUGUCGAAGAAGUUCAUAGGGUUUUAAUUCCGCAUUGAUUGAUAUUUAUUGAGCCUUCACUCUUUAUUGACGUAUCUCAUUAAUUGUUAAUCUAACCCUAACGAAAUAUUACAAGUCUGAUCUUUUACAGGUUAUCGAUCAAAAGUAUUUACAAUGUCCAUGGACGAUUCAAAAACCAAUCCGAUCAAUAUCUCCAACAACAUAGGGUCUACAACAAGAAUACCAAUCUUGUAUACACAAGACUAUGAAGUUUGGAUGCAUCACUUUGAAGACUACGUGAUUGGAUCGGAGGACAAUGGGUAUCUAAUCUGGGAAGCAAUCACUACAGGCCCAUUCGCUCACUCAAGCACAUCAAAGAUUGUUAAAACACAGAAAGAAUACAAUCAACUUGUCAAUGACAUCAAAGACAUUCCUCAGGAUGAAAACGAGAAGUUUCAAUGCAACAUCAAAGCUCUGAGGAUGAUAAGGUUUGCGCUGCAAUUGGAUAUGUUUCAUUUAGUGAGUUCUUGUGCUACAGCUAAGGAGAUCUGGGAUAGAUUGAAGGAAUUAUAUUCCACAGAUGAAGAUCUGGAACACUCUAUCCAAAGUCUCUUGUUAUCUGAGUUUGGUGACUUUAAGUAGAAGCCUGAAGAAAAACUUGUUCAAAUUUUUGAUCGCUUCAAUCAUCUUUUGAGUAAGAUGAUAAAGCAUGGAAUUGAAAGAAAGGUAAUUGAACAAAAGGUCACUUUCAUGAAUGGCCUCAAACCUGAAUGGAUGGCUAUUGUGUCAACCGUCAAAGCUCAUGAACAGUUCAAGUCCUACUCUCUUGCAAAACUGGUGGGUAUUUUCAAAUCCCAUGAGAAUGCUUUAUCAAAGGAAAUGAAUGUGGUCUCGGGUCUGGUUUCUUUAGCUCUUGUCUCCAAAAGAAAGAGUUCGGUUGAAGAAGAAGAGGAAUUAGAUCUGGCAGAUUUUGAUCUAACCGGCGAAGAAUACGCCAUGAUGGUGUCAAAUCCCAGAAAAUUCAUUAAGAAGAAAUUCCCAUCCAACAAGAACCGAAACUGGCAGGGAAGUUAUAGCGCCGAAAGGAUAAAGGAGGAACCGAAGAUGGGUUCAAAGUCCGAAGAGUCAAAGAAGGAAGCUAAAGUUGGAGGAGACUCAGGAUUCGACUAUCAUUACUGUGGAGGCAAAAAUCAUUUUUCUAAACACUGUAUGUUGAGAAAGAAAGAAGAAAAGACAAACGAAGAAGAUGAGGAAGCGAGCCUCCUGAGAAGGUUGGAGGAAAUAAAGAAAAGAAAGUCUGCUGUUAAUAACUCUACCAUGAAUGCCUUGAUUGUGCAGGGUACAAAUAACAGUGAUGAGUUCGGUGGUGUGGAGUUCUGGUCCACAGAUUCUGAGGAUGAUGAAGUAAGGAAGCCUACUCACGGAAAAGCUAUGCUGGCAAAAGCAUAACAGGCAACGGGGAGAUGCUUUGCAGUGACCGAGGGUGUGUCCCAAAUGAUAGGAUACACAACUGAUGGGGGAGUUGAAGAAGAAAGAGAGCGAGAGGACAAAUGUUUUGCUACCAAGCCUGUUAGUGCUCAGAUCAACAAAUGUGAUGAGUUAAUCAAAAAGGUACAAAAUAUUCUUGCUUCUCUAAAAAUACCUGCUAAUAAUUAUGAAAAGGAAUUAAAUAAUUUAAAGUCAAAAUUCUUAAGCAUAAGUAGCAGUCUCACCCAAAUCCGUGUCAGAAAUUCUAACCUAACUGAUCAAAUCAGCAAGAUUUCUUCAAAGAGUGAGGAAUGAAGAAUGUGGAUCGAGCAGAAGGAAAAGGAGUUAAUUAGAUCUAAAGAUGAUUAUAUAUAUUUACAGAGAGACAAUCUUAAACUUCUUAAACAGAGAAAUGUUUUUUGUUUAAAUGCUUAGAGACUCUAUUUUAACAUCACUCAGUUGCAUCUUGAUUGAGAAAUAGGGAAAAAGAUACAUCGUAUGAUUUUACCUUUCCUUGAAUUAAAGGAGGAUGAAAUCGAUGCUGAAGCCUACAAUUGUGAAAGUGUUGUGUCUUCUGACGAAGUGUCUCCAGUGUAUAAAAUAGGUCUGGACAAAAUUAAAUCCUACAUAAAGUCCAAGGACCACAAGGACAUGCUCAAAAAUCUGUUAGAUGAAAAUGAUAGAUUGAAAUUGAGAGCCGAAACUAUACAAAAUUUUGACUCCUUGAAUGCCAAUUUAAGUUCAGAAAACAAAUUUGAUGUUGAAAAUACAUCUGAACUUAAUAAGGAUGAUGAUAUGAGUGAAAUUUCUAUAGAAGAUUUGGUAGAUUGUUCGGAAUUAGCCAAAAACGUACCUAAGUCCCAUAAGAACCUAAUUUCUGAAAACUCUGUUGAGUUUGCUCGUUCCUCUACCGACAAGUCCAAAGUUCUCAAAGCUAAAGCUGUUGUGUAACAAAAAGUUCAAACUACUCCAAACCAAGUCUACACAGUACCGGGAAUCACUCCACAACAAACUGCAGAGUUAGCUGCUAUGGUAAAAAAAGACAAUGCUGGUGGAUGUGAUGAAUUCUUCUGGUCGGCCCCAAUAGACAACGCAGACGAGACGAAGGGUCUUUCUCAGAAAACCUCAUGGAGAGUGAAAGGUAGAUACAGACCUGAACCACUAAAUGAGCCUACAAAGUACGAUGUGCCGAGCAUAGGUGGAACUAAACCCUCUUUGGACGAAGCGAUGCAAACCACGAGUGAUACUUCUUCAACAAAGAGUGAAUGUUGUGCUCAUGCUUCUAAAAGAAAGGCUAACAUUCAUAGAAAUCCAAAACAGGUGGCUGAUCGAAAGCAUCAAAGAAAUCUGAGAUAUAAGAAGAAUCUCUCCGAAAGAAAGCGAUUUCGGAACUCUCAGAAUCCUGAUUUUGUAAGGAUUGAAAGGAAGUCUAAAUUAGAAGAAAACUCAAGUAACCAGAAGAACAGUUACGUUUCUCAUCACAAUACCAACCGAAAGGAAGGUUUCGGUCCUUCAACAGAUAGGAACCAAAAGGGUAGUUUCGGUCCCUCGACUGAAAACAACCGAAAGGGUAGUUGCGGUCCAUCAUCCAUCAACAACCAAACGAGCGGUUUCGGUCCCUCAUCCUACUACAACCGAAAGAGCAGUUUCGGUCCCUCAUCCUACAACAACCGAGAUGAGAGUUUCGGUCCCUCAUCCCAUGGCAAACGAAAGAGCAGUUUCGGUCCCUCAACCUACAACAACCGAAAGGAGAGUUUCGGUCCCUCAUCCUACAACAACCGAAACGAGAGUUUCGGUCCCUCAUCCCAUGGCAAACAAAAUAGCAAUUUCGGUCCUCAUGCCUGCAAGUCUGAUCAACAAAACUGGGAAUCUAAUGUCUCUUCUAAAUCUAGUUCUCUAAAUCCCAGUUCCUCAGUCAAAAACCCCAGUCCUCCUAAAUCAACAAAAAUUAAAGUUUUCACCAUUAAAAGAAAUGAUGAAACAACUUUGAUUAAAUGUACAUAUAUGGUUGAUAUUUCUCUUACUAUUCCCUGUCCUGUAAAAGGCUCACAAGGACCCAAGAAACUUUGGGUUCCUAAAUCUGCUUAAUAUUUUGUAGGUUAUUUAUGACGAGCAGUUUGACGAAGAAUGGUACAUCGAUAGUGGCUGCUCGCGUCACAUGACAGGAAGGAAGGAGGAACUAAGAGAGUUUCGUUCUCUUAGAGAUGGGGGUAUUGUAAAAUAUGGCAACAACUCUUUUGGAACUAUCAAAGGCUAUAGAAUGAUAACUAAUGGCGAGUUCUCCAUAAGGAAGUUUGCAUAUGUUGAAGGGCUCCAACACAAUCUCAUUAGCGUAUCACAGCUGGUGCUUGGUACCGGAUUAAAAGUAUCAUUCGACGAUGAAGGCUCUGAAAUUGUCGAAAAGAGCUCAAACAACAUUCUGUUGAAAUCAAAGCGAAAAGGGGAAAUGUAUCCUUUGAAUCUCAAUCCUAUAAUAGGUAAACCAGCAGUAUGUUUACUCACAAAGGCUCACUCCGAUGAAAGCUGGUUAUGGCAUAGAAGACUCUCUCAUCUGAACUUCAAGGACAUCAACAAGUUGGUCUUAGGUGAUCACGUUCGAGGUCUACCAGUUCUAAAAUUCGAUAAAGAACAUCUCUGUGCAACAUGUGAAAUGGGAAAGCAGAGUCGACAGCGUCAUCCUUCUAUUAUCAAUACUAAGGUGAUAGAACCAGUGGAAUUACUGCACAUUGAUCUAUGUGGUCCUUCGUCCAUCAAAAGCGUUGGGGGAAAAAAUACAUUCUGGUUAUUGUGGACAAUUUCUCGAGGUUUACAUGGAUUUUCUUUUUCAAGCAAAAGUCUGAAGCUACUCAAAGCUCAAGCUCUUCAUUAAACAGAUCGAGAUGCAACUAAGAAAGAUAGUUCGUAAUAUAAGGAGCGACAAUAGCCUGGAAUUCAAGAACAAACACUUUGAAGGUUUUCUUGCUGAAAAAGGGACGACUCACAAUUUCUCAGAUCCCUAUACUCCGCAGCAAAAUGGCAUUAUUGAAAGGAGAAAUAGGUCACUAUGUGAAGCUGCUCGUACCAUGUUAUACUUCGUGUCCCUGCCAUUGUAUUUCUGGGCUGAUGUAAUUGCGGCUGCAUGUUAUACUCAUAAUCGAUCAUAUUUGAAUAAACGGUUCUCAAUUACUCCUUACAAGAUCCUGAACAAUCGAAAACCAAACGUGAAAUUCUUUCAUGUGUUCGGUUCCAGAUGUUUCAUUUUCAACUCCAAAGAGAAUCGAAACAAGUUCGAUGUCAAGGAAGAUGAAGGAAUUUUCUUAGGCUACUCCCUGAACUCCAAGGCGUAUAGACUUCUCAAUAAACGCUUGAAGAAAAUUGAAGAAACAUACUAUGUCACUUUUGACGAUAGUUAUGUUAAGAAGUUGAAACCAACAGAAGAUGCAUCACAAGACAUAUUUCCAAAGAAUGGUCAGGUUACUAUCUCCAUCUCGAAUCUUUUCGACCAACUCAUGCUCUUGUUUGAUGAGCCUCAUAUGGCGAUUGACUCUGAAUCAACUGCAAAAGACAACAAAGUUGAUAAUCUAAAACAAGUUGUAGACGAUGCUGCUAAGAAGAUGGCUGAAGAUCAAUCCAAAGACACCAAAGGCGCAACGCAACCGAACCUUCUGGUGACCAUCCUACUGUCCAGGGGGGAGGGUUCCUCUACUCAUCAUGAUCAAGGUCCUUCAUUCCAGGGGGAGAACUCAUUGCCAAAUACAUAUAGCUCUACUGAAAUUCCAGCCAAUGAAGGAGAUACAAAUGCUAGUCCUGAACAGGACUUAUUCUUCGAGGGGGAGAACACCAAUGUUGGUGAUGAUGACACCAUGUCUGAACUAGAGGAAGAAAUCCAUGCUGAACUGGAUCCUAUUUAUGAUCCAAAGUUUCCUCCACUUAUCAAAUGGACCAAAGAUCAUCCUCAAACUCAAAUUAUUGGGAAAUCCUCAGAAAAAGUGUUAACUCGCUCUCAAAUUAAAGCGAAACAGGCCGCACUUUUUGCAAAAGUAGAGUUCUGCAUGUUCAAUUCAUUCGUUUCUAAAAUUGAACCAAAGACUGUUAACUCAGCUCUUGAUCAUUCAGACUGGGUUCAAUCCAUGCAGGAUGAGUUAAAUGAGUUUGAACGAAACAAGGUAUGGCAUCUUAUACCAACUCCAAAGGAUGCUUCGGUUAUAGGUCUCAAAUGGGUAUUUAGAAACAAGAUGGACAAAGAAGUGAAUGUCAUUCGUAACAAAGCAAGACUGGUGGUCAAUGGAUAUUGUGAGGAAGAAGGAAUUGAUUAUGAAGAAACCUUCGCUCCCGUGGCAAGAUUGGAAUCUAUUCAUAUUUUUCUUGCAUACGCUGCUCACAAGAACUUUGAAGUCUAUCAAAUGGACGUCAAAUGUGCUUUCCUCAACGGUGAACUUGAAGAAACCGUAUAUGUGGAGCAACCGCCAGGAUUCGUGAACAAGAAGUAUCCUGAUCAUUGCUAUAUCCUUGACAAAGCUAUCUAUGGCCUCAAACAAGCUCCCAGAGCCUAGUAUGAAACUCUCACACGCUUCUUAAAAAUGUCUAAAUUCAAACAAGGUUCAGUUGACCCAACCUUCUUUCGUAAGCAAAAAGGUAACCACCUUAUGAUAGUCCAAAUUUAUGUUGAUGACAUCAUCUUUGGCUCCACGAAUCCUAGCUUAACAGCUGAAUUUAGAAAGUUGAUGGAAACCAAAUUUGAGAUGAGCUCAAUGGGUCCAAUUAACUUUUUUCUUGGAUUGAACAUUAGAUAGGGACCCGAAGGCAUCUUUAUUAAUCAGGAAGCAUAUACCAAGACUCUGAUAACCAAGUUUGGAAUGAUGGGAGAUUCUAAAGUGAAAGUACCUAUGGCUUUUGGAACUAAACUCACACCAUCAUUUGAGAAACCAGCAACUGAUACAACACUCUAUCGACAGAUGAUUGGUUCUCUGAUGUAUCUCACAGCCAGUAGACCUGACAUCAUGUUCUCUGUCUAUUACUAUGCACGAUUUCAAGCCAACCCACGAGAACCUCAUCUUUAAGUCAUGAAGAACAUCUUUUGCUAUCUGAAGCGAACUUCCUCUCUCGGCCUAUGAUAUCCAGUCAACUCAGGAUUCUUCGUUCAAGCAUUUUCAGAUGCUGAUCUGGGUGGCUGUGGAUUGGAUCGUAAAAGCACCAUAGGAGGAUGUUAAUUUCUUGAUGGUAAAUUAGUCAGUUGGUGUAACGCCUGUGUUUCCGGGCUUGCAAUUUUUAGCAAUGUAAUAGUCUAGGUUAACCUUUGUAACCCGUUUUGAAAUAAUAAGAAUGUAUUAUUUGAGUAUUAUGUGUUUUGUGCUUAAUUGCUUAAUUAUGUGGUUUGAUUAAUUAAGAAUAAAAAUAAGCGUCAAAAUUUAAGUGUAAAAUAAACUUAAUAUCUUUGGUUAAUGUUGUAGUAGUUGAAACGAGGUUUCCGAAUAUAUAUAGAACGCCCAAAUCUGACUUCGUAUGAGGAAGUUAUGAUUUAUCGAAGUUUCGACUUAGUGGUAUGCAGCCUGAAAUACUCGAUUUGAGAUCGAGCGGUUUUUAGCCGAAACAAUCUAAAUGAGGAUCGAAGGUCUCGUUGUUGGUAUCGAAGCGAUAAAAAGUUAGGCGAGAACGGACGUCAAACGAAGAAGUUAUGAAUUUAUAACGAAAGUUUCUGUCGCGGCCUAUUAAAAAUAAUUAAUAAAAAUAAAGUCAAAAUUAGCCGACGGAGUCUAAACGAAAGUCGUAGAGCGUGGUCUCACCUUCGCGUGGAUAUAAAGAACGUCGAAAACGGAGUUCGUAUGAAGAAGUUAUGAAUUUCCGAAGUUUAUUAAUCAUUUUAUAUUUUUAUUUAAUUCAAAAUCGGAGGCAUUAUCCGAAGCCGUGUCACCGGUGUAAUCCGGAGUACGCCCCGCGUACGAGGUUACGCUAUCGCGUAACUCCGAUAGUGUCGACACUUCGGAUGACGCAUGCAAUGACGAUUUCGGACGCGUACGCGCUGCGUACGCCUGUACGCCCCGCGUACUCCGAGGUUCCAGCCUCUAUAUAAAGGAUCCGAAGGCAGCCUCAUUUCUUGUUCAUUUUCUUCUCUUCUCUCUAGUCUUUUGCAUCGUUUUUCGUGCCGAAGCUACCCCGAAGCCCCGGUAUCAUACUCUAGCCCCGAGGCAAGUCCCGAGAUCCCGAAGAUCCCGAGAAGCGCGGUUCCCGAGUCGAAGCUCUGCCCGCGAGAAGUUCGAUUUUCGAGGAGAUCUUCCAGAUCUGCUGUGGAUUACUACUUCUAUAAGCCGUAGUGCUGUCGGAUCGUCUUCUGAUCAAGUGAGUGUGUAGUUAUUUCUUCUAAUACAAUAAUACGAAGUAUUUUAUAUAAAAAUACGUGCUAUGUGUAUAUAUUUGGUUGUGUUAUGUGUGAAUGAGUAUUCACUCUCUUCUAUCUUAUAGAUCUGCUUAUUUCUUUAUGAGAUAUGUGUUAUGUGUGUGUGCCUCAUCUGUUAUGUGACAUAUGUGUUGAUUAAAGCAUGCUAUACAGGUUUUCUUUAAACUACGUAUGAAAAUAUAUAUUUUUAUCUACUAAUAUGUUGGGUAGAACAUGGGUAGAUAGUUGGUGUGUAAUAAACAGAUGAGAGGCCUCGAUGUUGUUGUUGUUGUUGAUCUAGUUAUUCAGCGGAGUAUGGAUAACGACCACGGACUCUUUCUAGACAGUCCAGUGGAACGCUAGCAGGUUCAUAACCUGUAGGUGUUGUGAACGAUGUGUUCACCGGUGUACUCUAUCCCCCUCAUGGUUGCCUUUAGGAUAUCUAUUGUUGAGGAAACCCCUUAGCAGUGAUGUCCGUCCCGAUGAAAAUCCUAGAUUAGGUCCCUUGAGAUAGAUGUCGUUUUAGGGACGUAAAGUGAGGAUAACGGGAAUGGGCAAUCGGGAUAGUGAUUGGUUGGUGAAAUUAAAUAUAAUUUAUUUAUUGUGGGUUGAAAACCCUAUAUGCUCACCAGGCUCCCAAGCCUGACCCACUCAGUUUUAUUUGUAUUACAGGAAGUGGCGCAAGGGCAUAAGAUGGAUGAAUCAUCAAGUUGUUUUGUUUACAAGUCUGUAUAUGUAUAUAUUUGUUGAAUGACUUGUAAUGUUAUCGUUUAUGCUUUAUGGUCUGUAUCGGAACAUGACAUCCCGAGUUUUGAUUAUAUAAUGAAAAUGCAUCUCUUGAUGAAAUGCUUUGAUAAAUAUUAUUUUAUCAUGUUUUGUUUUGGGAACAAAUUCCGCAACUCUUUCAAAUCAAAAGGAUUUACUCUGAAAUUAUUUAAAAGCAUAAAUGAAAAUCGGUCUUUUCUGGCCGAGAUUUUAGGGAUGUCACAGUUGGCAAUCAAAGAAACAGACAUGUUUUUCAUUAUCCAUUGCAGAAGCCGAAUAUAUUGCUGCAACAUCCUGUACAUCUCAAGUCGUAUGGAUACAAAGUCAACUCCGGGAUUAUGGGUUAAACAUGAAUAAAACCCCACUAUAUUGUGACUCUGAAAGCGCAAUCAGGAUUUGUCACAACCCAGCGCAACACUCUAAGACUAAGCAUAUAGCACUGAGAUAUCAUUUCAUCAAGGAUCACGUCGAAGACGGUAACGUAGAAAUUCACUUCGUCAGAACGACUGAUCAACUGGCAGACAUAUUCACAAAGGCCUUACCCGAAGCAAGCUUCAAUGAGAUUCUACAAGGCGUAGGAAUGAUGCAAGCUGAGUCUGUACCGAAAUUGUCUUCGCUCUCAUAAAGGUAACAAGCGAAAUAGAGCGAACCGAAAUGAACCGAACGUUCGGUCUAUUUCGGGUGAAGUUCGACCAUGAACCGAAAUGAAUCGAGCGUUCAGUCUAUUUCGGGUUCGGUCCUUCUUAACUCGUUCGUUUUUUAAGGCAUUUCAACUGUUUUCUUGUGUACAACCUUUUCAUUACUUCCUUUCUACUUAUAAAAUUCCAAAAACAUUUUUUUGUUGCUUUCAUAAAAAUUCUUAUAAAAUCCAAAAAUAUUUUUCUUUUUGUUCAAAUACUUCAUUCUCUCAAAACACAAAAAUAUUUUUUAUUUUUAUCUAAUGUUUUUUUGUGUGCGUUUUUCUUUAAGUGUGAUUCUCAAUGGCAAAGCUAAGGUAAGAUAAUGGGUUUAUUAGUUAGGAGUCCCUAGAAGCAUGUUGUUGUGUGUUGACCAAAGCCUCGACUGAUUUUGAGUGAAGCCUUAAUAACAUGAUUUAUACCCAUCAUGUUUUCCCAAUACAAGCUAUAAUAUUCACUCUAAUCUUGAGCUACCUUACUCUGCUCAUAUUGAGUUUUGAGUUUUCUGCUUGGUCCUUCUUUUCUUUAAAGCAGAGGUACAUUCGCUUCUUAUACCAUCUCUAUCAUCUUUCUCCAUUAUAAUUCAUUUCAUCAAUAUAACCCCUCAGACUUUCAGUUUUAACCACUGAGGUUUAUGGUUAUACCAAGUCUGUGUUUAUGAUGUUAGUUUCAUGCCACUAUGUACUAAGUGAAACCCAAAGUUCAACACCACUAAUCAAUUGACGGUUAAUUAAACAAUUCAAGCUCUUACUUGUUACCCAAUGAAAUCGCUUUUUCUUUUGCGUGAUCUUGAUGAGCUUGCCUCUCACUAAGGCUUCUCUAACCCUAAAAGACCCAGUUUAUUUUUUUUUUUUGCGAUUUCCAUUAUUCUCUGGUCACUAUAAAGUUUAUCAUACCUACUUGUUCAUCAGAUCACAAUGAUCUUACAAGUACUUCAUUCAGUUUCGGUCUUAUGUUAAGUAUCGAAAUUAUGAAUUGAAGCGAAAGCCACCCUCUUUAACCUUUAAAAAGAAGCCUUUCAAAACUUCUCAAAAAGUUUUUGAUCGUUAUUCAAUGGGAAACCAAGCAAGCACUUUAAUGUCUCUCUUGACUUUGAAGGAAGCGAUUUUUGCCCAGAAUCAAUUAUUUUAUGUCAGAUUACGACAUCAUAUAUAAUCCCAAAAAACUCGUUUUAUUUCUUUAUCUUUUACACCCUAUGCACGAAAUUUUUUAAUUUUCCAAAUUCUAGUUCUGAUUCAGAUUGAUCAUUAAAGCGCUAAAGGCACAGAGAUUCAAGCGUCAUAAGGAGAAACGAUUGGAAUAAAGUGGACGCUGACUCAGCAGCUAUCCAAACGGUUUGGCGUUUCGAAAAAGUGAGUUUUAUGAAAGGACGUGUAAAAGGGAAACGGUUUUUCUCUCUCCUGCGUCAUCCUCGGCAUGCCAACUGCUCACCCAUCAACUCAGGCGCUAUUUCUGAGAUAAUCCAAGAUUUCAGCCGGAUUUUUCUCUCUCCUCAUUGUACAUAUAAAAGGAAUUGGAACGGUACACUCUCAUCCUUUAUCACUUCCAAAAUUCUCUCAAUGAAACCCGAUGAUUCUCUGAGACUGUUCAUCAUCUUCUCAAAGCUACUAUAAUGGCAGAAUCCUCAUCCGUUCACGAUACCUUAGUUCGUCAACCCCUACUCACUAUUAAAGCCCAACAGAACCUGAUCAUUGAUCUCACUCCAUUCGUAUAUGAGCCCUAUAUGUAGUAUGUGGUUGAGUGUUUCAAAUACUCACCACUCGUCGACGCACUAACAAAAGUUGAAGUUGUUCCUAUGUCGUUCUUGUCUCUUGUCUACUCUACUGCAUUCUACGACAAGGCUAAUGAAAGAAUUCACUUUGAACUUCACGAUGAGAAGAUCUCUAUCUCCAAGAGUUGAUUAUGUGCCCUUAUUGGUCUUUCUCAAGAUCCAUCUCUGGUAAACCCUGAUUCCAUUACCACUGGCCAACUGUUCACUAUGUUCUAUCAGAUGGGGUAUACCAAAACCUAACAACUGUCACCAAAUUCAAGAAGUCCUGCCUUCCGCCUCAAUGGAAUGGCCUUUUCACGCUAUUGUUCAAGGGAUUGUCUGAGAGGAGCGCUGGUUCUGACGGUGCUAGCAAUUCAUUCAUGACGGUGCUGUAUGGGUUGUACAAUGGACUUAACCUCGAUUAUGGGUCCAUUAUUUGGCAGCAAGUGGUUCAAAGCCUGGUUUCUUCAUCCAGGCAUUCUGAGAUUUCAUGUGGGCGUUUCUGGUCUCUCAUCACCAAAUGGGCAAUAGAUCGUCAUCGUGUCCCAAUAAUGGCGGAUUCCUUGCUCUCCUCUAUUGCCACUUUUCACACGACGAAAAUCAUUGUCACUGAUCCAACAACGUUUUCAUUCAUCGGACCUAUUCCUGAAGCUAUGCUAGGUCGUAUUUCAGCAUCGAGUAACGUUCUUCAACAGUAUAGGAAGCGUCCAUCUGUUGGUCCAAGAGAGCUUACGCCGGCAAUGCUUCGUUCCAUUGAAGAGGCUGACAAGCCAGCCAAGAGGGGUAAGAAGCCUAAAACACAGAAGGAGGGACCGCUCACAAAACCAACCAAGGGGCAAACCCCCAUGAAGCGAAAAACUGUUAAAGCUGCUACUUCCCAACCUCAACCCAAAAAGCAGAAGAAGCCCGCUAGGAGACUUAUUCUUCAAUCCUCCAGUGAUUCGGAUUCAGAAUAUGUUCCUCCUAUGCAGAAGAACGCACUUCCUUCAGAAUCUGAGAGCGAAAGCUAUGAUGAAGAGGCUUCGGGCCGAGGGGAUACUCCACCUCGCUCCCCUACUCCAUAAAUUCCAGUUCAUUCUUUUCCUCCUUCACCUCCACCUGUUACCAUUCCAGUUUCUAUCCCUCCUAUCUCUCCAAUAACCACCUCUCAACCUUUCACUACAAUUCCUAUUCCCACUCCCAUUUUCAUAGAUACAACUUCUACCACUACUACAAAACCUACCUUUACUGUUCCUAAUCCACCUGUAACCGAACCUCCUGUAACAACCAAACCUCCACCUUCUUCAAAACCUUUAUCCCCAACACCAUCUACUGAAAUAACCCCUAUUUUAGGCCGUGAGGACUUAGAAUUCGAUUCCACAUAUUUCAGUCCUUAUCGCCUACAGAGUGAGGAUGAUGACGAUGAGCCUAUCACAAAACGACAUCUCAAGGCAGUAAACGACAAGCUUAAUCAACUGCUUUCCUCCUCUUCCUCUGGAGCUUAUUCAGACGCUGCAUUAAAAGCCUUGUUCUCUUUGGUCAUUGCCAAAAAUAGUGCCUCUUUAUCUGCUGCAGCCAAGGCUAUUGAAGCCUCCACUUCCCAAUGUCAACAGGCUUCUCUUGUUGUUGAUGCCUCUACUAAGGAGUGCAAGGAAGCGACCGCAAAAGUCGAUAAACUAGUUUGACAAGCUCACUUGUUUCUAGAUUCCUUGCAGCCUGCUACUGCCAAGAAUGCUGAAACUGUCAACACUUCAGUAAAGAAUCUUCCAAAGACUCUUCAAUCUGAGUGCUCCAACAUUGCAGCAGAACGCCAUGCCAUUGAAGAAGCCAGUGAAUCGCUCCAUGCUAAUGUCAACGAACGCUUAACUCAACUGGAAGCGGACUUAGCUAUGGAAAAUCGGAUUGUGGAUGAGCUCGACAGAUGUACAGCCCAGCUUAAAUUGCAAACACACAAGCUGCGUACUGCUAAUGCUGAGAUUAAUGACCUCAAGUCAGAAAGGGAGGUUAUCCAGAGUUCUGCUACAGAUGUUCACUCCAUCCUUCUUCAUUUUAUUGAGGCUAAUGAUCCGCUUAUCACUAUCACUGUUAGAAGGCAUUUGGCAGACAAGCUCAGACCGGCACUGGACGUUCUUAGCCGUAUCGAGGGUGUUUCGGUGACUGGGGUCCAACCGAAACCAGGGGGAGAGAAAGAGUCAAAGCAACCUCCUCCUUCUAGCUCAAAACCAGCUGCUGAAGCAAAGGGUAAUGAAGCUUCGGUCAGUAACAAAGAUAAAAAGAAGAAAAAGAUUGGUAAAGACGACACAGGCAAUGAAGAUGAUGUCUAUUUCGAGAUUCCCAAGAAGCCUGUCCCGAAGGAUAACACUUCUGAAAUAGAAACAGAAGAAAUCACCAAGAAGCAGCGAGCUGAGCUAGAGCAGAAGCGAAAGGAGGCGGAGCUCCUAGAAAAGAAAAAGUAUGUGUUUCCUGUAUGGACAAAAGACUCGCUUCAGAGGUGUGCAAUCGACGAGCCAACUGUUCUCUGGCUCAAGCCAAUAAUGUCUUUUGGCCGUGACAACUCCAAGGAUGCAUAGUUCGAUAUGUCAAUCACUCGAAAGGCAUUCAUCUUCCACUGCUUCAACUCGACUGUUGCCAUUCCAUCUCUGGACCCGAAGGUAGAUAGGGAUCUUCUGGAGUUUUACUUGGAGUUUGCUCAACCCAAAACCUGACCUGGAGCUCAAAGAAGAUAACUAAAGUCAAGGUGAUGAAGCCCUAUUCAGCAGGGAAAUUUAUUAAUGUCAAAUUCAGGGUGACUCGAGGAACCGAAGGCUCAGUCUACUAUUUUACCCUUGCUGAUCUACCAAACCUCAAUCCCCAUGACUGGAUACUCCUCAACAACAUUCUUUUAUCGAAUCCUCAGGAAUAUCAGCCUAUAAUCGAUCAUGUCAAGCGUAUGCUUGUUUGCUACAUACAUGAGGUAGCGAAAAUGGACCAGGAGAUUGCCUCUGCCAUACACAAGCGACCAACGAUCAAGACGAUGGGCGGAGCUGGCAAUGUCAAUACCAUGAUCAAGGGGAAGAUAGAUUCAAAGUAUCACACGGUUAUGUUUCUUAGGGGCGAAGGUCAAAAAUGUCUGUUCGCUCUUAUUGACAAACACCUCUUCUCGACGACUUGUCUUGAGCAUAUCUUGGAGAUCAAUCAGAGGUGCGACCAGAACAGUGCUGCUGAUAAGAAACUAUUCACUGACAUGCUGAGGUGGUACAUUCAGUUCAGACAGACUCUUCUUGCCAUUAUUCCUCAUCUGUUUAAAGUUAUAAAGACAGUGAGGCCUGCUCAGAAGAAAUAAUCUCUCGCCUCAUUUGACGCAAAGGGGGAGAUUGUUGAGUCUAUUGGGUUGUGUCAUGGGAUCGGUCCGUAGCCUAGUUUGAAUGCCGGUAUUGGGCCUGUCCAGCCGUGCAUAAUUUUGUAUUAGGGUUUAGUAUAUAAGCUGCAUGCAUGCAUACUUAGAAGUCAUCGCUUUUGUAACGUCCCAAAAAUACGAGCCAAAAAUUUCGUUUUUAAAACAUGUACUUAGCAAAACAUUUAGGAACAAUUCAUUCAACAACCAUUUCAUUUCACAAAAGAUGUUGCAUGUCAGAAAACAUUAUCAUAAUCAUAAAAAUGUCAGAGUACAAUUUCCCAGGUAGAUGUCAUAAUGCGGAAUACAAGCAGGUGUGUGUGUGAUGUACCGCUACCGCGCCAGCUCCUUCCCCUUCGACGAAAAGGUACCUGAAACCAAAGCUGAAAACUGUAAGCACGAAGCUUAGUGAGUUCCCACAUAAUACCUCAUACCAUGCAAGCAUACAAUGUACAGCUAGGAGAUACGGGCCUCGCCCACACUCAUGAAGAUACGGGCCUUGCCCACACUCCGCUAGUCGGGAGAUACGGGCCUCGCCCACACUCCACUAUCUGGGAGAUACGGGCCUCGCCCACACUCCACUCUCAGAGAGAUACGGGCCUCGCCCACACUCAGCUACUAACCCAUAAUAUACAAGUAUCACACAGACAACAAGUAUAGACAACUCUAUCAUACUGGCAUAUAUCAUAAUCAACUCAACCAAGAGAUACAGGCUCGACCCACACUCUAAUACUAACAUCUCGUCUAUACGGGCCGGCCUUGGCGCCUUAGACCCGUUACUACUGGAAGGAAACUCACCUCAAAGUCACUGCCGAUCUGUGUGGGAACUGACUAUCUGCUGCUAUUGCCGCUCUGGAAAUCCUCCGGCUAUAAUUCCCACAAAACCCUUAGUUAAAUACUGCUAACCGACUUCAGGGUAAAUUGACCAUUUACCCUUACAAAUCAAGAGUCAAGUCACAGUCAACUGCCAGUUGACCAGACUCGCCGAGUUGGCUUGCCAACUCGCGAAGUCCCUUUCCCCUUAGUCUGACCAUAAAUCCAUCUCUACUCGUCGAGUUAAACGUAGACUCGACGAGUUUUCCUUCUAUACCCAAGGCCAAUAGUCCUUCAUCCUACUCGCCGAGUUGUAUGAACAACUCGCCGAGUUCAUCUUCAUCCGAUGAACACUUUAUGCUAUGACUCGCCGAGUUGUAUGAACAACUCGUCGAUUCUGUUCUUGAUCUAAGAAGGUUGCCUUGAACUUGCCGAGUUAGGGCAUUGACUCGCCGAGUUCCUUCGCGUAUGAGUUCAGCUUCCAACUCACCGAGUCCACCCAAGACUCGCUACUCUACUCGGCAUAAACGAAAAGGGGGAAAACUCGGGGACUCGCGACCCGACUCACUGAGUUCGAUGAGUGACUCGCCGAGUCUGCCACAUGCAAAUACUAUACACUCAAUCUUGAUCGAAUCCAGUCCAUGCCAUUUACAGAUCUGGCUUCUUAGGGCAGGAUUUUCACGUAAAGUUUCCAACUUUAUGUGUAGAAAUGGAUAGAAUGGGGAUUAAAGGCGAAAUAAGGGCUAAGAAGGUAGAUCUAGGACAUUCAAGCAAUUUACUCCCAUAAAGGUUACAGAUCUGAGCUUCUGGAGCUCAAACAUGAGUAGAUCUAGUGGAUAAUCAACCUAUUACGAAUUCUACUUCAUGCACAAGCUUGGAAAAAGGUUCAAGAAGAGCUCAAAAGGUGCUCUAAUGGGUUUUUAAGAAUACAAACAGAAUGGAGUAGAGAUAUACCUCAGAGAACUCUGAAAUAGCACCAAGAUAUCUGGUAUCCUUCUCCUCUUCUUGCUCCACUCUCCUUCUUCUACCAAAAACUUCAUGGAAUCACUCUAAUCACUUCAAUCUCACAAGAAACGAGUUAGGGUUUGAUGUAGGUCGCUCUGAGGGUGAUAGGGGGCGAGCUUGGGCCGCACAAGCUAGCUUAAAUAGGGGGCAAACCCUUGGAAUUAGGGUUUCAUCAGACAGCGGUGACUCGCCGAGUCCGGAAUAUGGACUCGCCGAGUCGCCAACUUAAACACGCUCCGGAUCCCGUCUCUACUCGGCGAGUCGGACCUACAACUCGCCGAGUCCAAGGCUAAAAAUGAAAAACACAAAGAUAAAUUUUACAUACCAGGAACUAGGUGCUACAGCUUUCAUUGUUUUUGUUUCAUAUCUUCUGUAACCCUAGCUCGCCUCUACAGCGGAAGUUCUUCAUCGAGCUCUGCUGAGGCAUGACUCAGUUUUGAAUCAUAAGCAUAAGUUUGAUUAUGUUCUGUGUUCAUUCUCAUAUUGAUCUUAAACUGUUUGAUUACUUUUGUUGCACUUGUGAAAGAUCUAUUCGAUCUAAGAGUUUUAAACUCAUCAGGGAUUUGACAUGUUUUGUAUUAUGAUUAUGAUACAUGGGAUUUUAAUGGUUGGAUUUGGAUGAAAAUAUGUUUUUAAGAAAUGAAAAAUUGUUUUGAAAAAAUCACGUCGUUACAAGUUGGUAUCAGAGCCUUGGUUUGAGGGACUCGGAUGCACCUUUGGGUGUAUGUGAACUCAAACUGAGGAUUUGAGAAAUUUUCAAUAAUAAAAACUUAAAUUUUCUAAAAGAACAAUGAGUUUUGAAACAAACAGAAGCAGAGCAGUGUGUACAGUCAGCCAGCGCUCGAACGAUGAAUUCCCAAGAUACUCUUACAAUAUGUGUUAUGAGAUAUGUUAUGUUAUGUUAUGCAUGCUAGAGUGGGCUAGGUAUUCAUAUUAGGACUAGAGUGACCUGAUUUGUGAUGCCUUAGCCUAGGAGAAUCCUGCUGCUAUGAGAUGCCUUGAGACCGAGUAGGUAGUCAAAUCAUAGCGAGAAUAGAGUACUUGUGAUCCGGGAUCCAGGGAGGAGGACUUGGGGUGAAUGCUGAUGCGGUGUAGUCAGUAGUAUAAGGCCCGUACUACUGAAGACACCGGAUCAGUGAGCAGCCAAGGUAAGAAUCCUUUGGGUAUUGGAGGACGAGUAGGGUUGCGUUAUCGAGUACGAGUAUGCUCGAUCGAGUCUUUGAUAUUUUUAUGUUGUAUUUCAGAGGCAUCAUGGUUGGGAAACAACACACACCUGAGAUCAGUGGGGUUAGUGACGAGGAGAUCCGUCGAUUGAUUCAUGAGGAGGUGGAUGCUGCCAUCCAGGUUGAGAUUCCAGAGAUGUUUGGGGACAUCAAGACCACACUGAUUGAGACCUUCGAUGAGCGGUAUGCAGCAGUGACUGAGACUGCAGCUGCUGCAGCUACCGCAGCUAUUGCUGUUGCCAGACCUCAAGGAGGUGACUCGUUGUUGUUACGGGAGUUCAGCAACACGAAGCCACCAGAAUUCGAUAGGACGUAGGACCCGAUAGCAGCAAUGAGGUGGAUCUCUGACAUUGAGGGGUGUUUUUAUACGUGUUAUUUUCCAGAACACUUGAGGGUGCGGUUCGCUUUGAACCAGCUUCGCUUGGGAGCGAAGGAUUGGUGGAAGUUCGUGACAGCAAGCUUCACUCUGGUUGAGAUUUUUGAGGUGAUCUGGGAUAGGUUCACCGCCAUGUUCAGAGAUGAGUAUGUUCCCCCGGUGGAGAGGGAAUGGUUGGUUCAGGAGUUCUUGACCCUCAAGCAGGGUAAUGAUUCGGUUACUGUGGUUACCCGGAAGUUUCAUGAGAGGGCGAUGUUCUGUCCUGAGCAGGUGUCGACAGAGCAGGCACGGAUGAUCCGGUAUUUGGGCACAGGGCCGGUCCAUUAGUUUUUACUACCCAGGGCGAAAUAAGUUAAUAUUGCCCUUAUGUUUACAACAUAAUUUAUAAUACAAAAUUGCAAUAUAUUUUGUAUUAAAUAUACUAAUAUAAACAAAAAACCCUAGUAAAAUCACUUAAAUACAAUGUUUAAAAUGACUUGUUCCAUAAAUUACACUUAAAUAACUAUGUUUUAAACAAAUUGUUCCAAGCUUCAAAUAAGAAUUAUCAUUUAAAAAAACUUUGACAUAAAUAGAUUCAACAAAGACAAGCAUAUAUGUUAUUAAUUUUUACUAUUUGCAACAUAAUGCCAACUCCUUUUUAUCCUGCCAGAGGUUAUUAAAACACAAAUUCACAUUCAAGCUUUCUAAUUUACAUCACAAGCUAUCGUUCAAAACAAAAUUUCAUUAUACCAUGAAUUUGUGUCAAAAACCACAUCAAACUCAUGGAAACACACAACCUUCAAUUCAGACUCUAAAACAUAUUGAAUCAUUGGGUGAGAGAAACAUCUUCACCAAUGCACACAAAAGCAAUGUAAUUUGGAACUGAGACUAACAUUAGCAUUAAACUUUUGAGUUUUUACUUUUGAACUUUUAAACUUUGUUUCCUGCCUCAAAUAUAUAAUAUGCAAACCUAUAUGGAGAAUUUAUGAUGUGUAUAAUCUCGCACAGUGAACAGUUAUUGUUGGUUUGUAUAGAGCUUCAAAUCAUUUAUGUACAUCCUUGAAGUCUAUAUGAACAAUUCUAAAAAUAACUAAACAAUUAUAAUUUAAAUCCUUAAAACAGAUUAAUAACUAAACAAUUACAAAUUAAUGUUAAGCAAUCAAAGGGUUAAAACCUUGAAGGUAACUAAACAUUCAAGUAAUCUACGGCAAAGUCAAAAGAAGAGCAUACUAAAGAUAAACAAUUGAAAACUCAAACAGUAAAUGUGACUAAACAGAUACAAAUUUAACUUUUUGUGCUACAGCCAAGCUAAUGUAUUCCAACAGGGCAUCAAAUAUUUUCAUUCGAAUCCAAAUGUGUUUUUGCGAUAAAAAGUAACCAUUAUCUCUAAAAGUCCGAAUACAAAUUUGAACUUAGUUUUGCCCAAUCCCAUAAUAACUAAAGAUAGGAAGAUAACCUCUAACUUAACUCUAAAAUCUUCAUUAUAACAACAACCUGUAGACAAAAAACACGAGCAGCGAGAAUAGAAUUGAUAUUGUGACUCCGCAAGUGACAGACUAAAGCUUAAACGAAGAUUAGAGCAUAACAAAUCACAGAUGAUUACGGAAGUGGAGAUUAGAGAUGUCAAUUUCGAUUAAUAUUGCUAAAGAAAAAUCAGAAAUCACGUCUGUUGCAUCUAUGAAAUCUCCAACCGUCGAAUACUCACCAAUGGCGUAAAUAAUGGCGUUAAGAAGGUUGUAUAAUGAUUACAUGUGUUGAAAUUUCUGACUUGCCUCUUCGACUUCUGUUCUACCGCACGCGCCCAAUUAUUAUUAUUAUUAUUAUUAUUAUUAUUUGCCGUCAUAACUCCUCUCUAGCUGAAUAGGGUGAUACAGAUCUGAUUGAAGAAAAUGGGCCAGAAUUUCUCCAUAUACACUGAUAUACCUAUAUGGGCUCAUACUUAUGUCCCCAAUAACCUGAUGCCCUGGGCCAUUGCCCAAGCCGCCCAGUACCUGUGCCAACCCUGUUUGGGCAAUUUGAGGAGGGACAUUCGAGAGUUCAUGUUGAACUCGACGUACCGUACAUUUGCUGAGCUUCAGGCAAAUGCCCGGAAGCGGGAGAUCGAGUUGGAGACUCAGGCCAGGGAGGAGGCCGAGUCCUAGAGGAUGGAUCGGCGAUCGGCUCAGUCUCAGCCGGCAGCCAAGCGGGCCAAGCCCUUUGAUUCGAGGACUGGAGGCCAGAAGGGCCGUACUUGUGGGAAGUGCGGCAAGGGUCAUGAGGGAGCUUGUCAAUCGGGUGCUUGCUACAAAUGUGGUAAGGAGGGGCAUAUCGCCAAGGAUUGCCCUAAGGGAUUCAUGGUUUGCUUUCAUUGCAACCAGACUGGCAUCGGAAGGCCGAGUAUCCGCAGCUGCAUCAGGGGACAGCACAGGGAUCUGCACCUGCUGCUAGGGUUACCGAGGUUCGAUCGGUAAAGGCUGAGGCUCCGAAGGCUCGUGGGAUAGCUUUCCAGUUGACAGCGGAGGAGGUCCGCGCAGCACCUGACGUUGUGGCCGGUAUGUAUUCUUCUCUCUAUUUAUUUAAGUCUGAGAUAUUAUGCUUAUAUUAUGAUAUGCGUAGGUACUUUUCUUGUGAAUUUUGUGCCUGCCUUAGUGUUAUUUAACUCAGGAGCAAGUCAGUCUUUUGUGUCGUUAGCCUUCAGUUGUCAUAUCAACAUUUCUCGAGAGGCCAUGAGUCUACCUGUGCGAGUUUCUAUAGCUAACGAGCGAGCAGUGUAUGCCAUGGAUGUGAUUCGAGGAUGUAUCCUUGAGAUCUUCGGUGUAGAGUUUCCGAUAGAUCUGGUCCCGAUUGCGAUAGGGGACGUGUGUGUCAUAGUGGGCAUGGAUUGGUUGACCUGAUUUGGAGCUGUUAUAGAUUGCAAGCGUCGGUUGGUGACGAUACGAGACCCUAGUGGGGGAGUACUUACGGUGUACGGUGAGGGUACCCGUCCUGAGUCAGCAUUUUGUUCGACUGCUAGGGCGAGGAAGAGUUUACAAUAGGGCUGUAUGGGAUAAGUGGCUUACGUGAUGGACACACGAGUGACCGCUGGGAGGUCGAGUUCGAUUGAUGAGGUCCCAAUUGUGCAGGAGUUCCCUGACAUUUUCCCUGAGGAUUUUCCGGGUGUGCCUCCCGAGAGGCAGGUGGAGUUUCGUAUCGACUUGGUGCCUGGGGCGGCACCUAUUGCCAAGGCACCCUAUCGCCUUGCGCCGUAUGAGAUGCAGGAGUUAUCCUCGCAGCUUCAGGAGCUGUUGGGAAAGGGGUUUAUUAGACCGAGCACCUCACCUUGGGGAGCGCCGAUCCUUUUUGUCAAGAAGAAGGAUGGUUCACACCGGAUGUGUAUUGAUUAUCGGGAGUUGAACAAGCUAACGGUCAAGAACCGUUACGCGUUACCGAGGAUCGACGAUUUGUUCGAUCAGUUGCAGGGAGCGUCUUGGUUCUCCAAGAUUGACUUGAGGUCGAGAUAUCAUCAGAUGAGGGUUCGGGAUGAAGAUAUCCAGAAGACAGUGUUUAGAACUCGUUAUGGGUUUUACGAGUUCGUGGUGAUGCCCUUUAGAAUCACCAAUGCACCAGCCGCAUUCAUGGAUCUCAUUUAUAGAGUGCGCAGAUCGAUGUUGGAUCGAUCAAUGAUUGUUUUCAUCGAUGAUAUUUUGGUAUAUUCAAAAUCCAGAGAGCAACAUGAGGAGCAUUUGAGGGAAAUUCUCGGAGUUAUGAGAUCGGAGAGGUUUUACGCUAAAUUCUCCAAGAGUGAUUUUUGGUUACGGGAGGUCUAGUUCCUAGGGCAUCUCGUUAACCAGCAGGGGAUAUUGGUCGAUCCAGCCAAGAUUGAGGCUGUGAUGAGUUGGGAAGUGCCGAGGUCACCCUCUGAGAUCAUGAGAUUCUUAGGGUUGGCAGGCUACUAUUUGGAGAUUUAUCUGGGAUUUCUCCAAGAUCGUCGUGCCACUCACCAAGUUGACCCGGAAGGGUGUUGCGUUUUCUUGGGGUCCGGAGCAGCAGACCUCAUUCGAGACACUUCUACAGAAAUUAUGUGAAGCCCCGGUGUUAACCCUUCCGGAAGGGAUGGAGGAUUUCGUGGUGUAUUGUGAUGCAUCGAUAUCCGGAUUGGGAGUGGUGCUUAUGUAGAGGGGGCAUGUGAUAGCAUAUGCAUUGACGCCGCUUAAGCCUCAUGAGUCGAGGUAUCCCACUCAUGAUCUGGAAUUGGGAGCGGUGGGGUUCGCCCUCAAGAUCUGGCAUCACUAUUUGUAUGGGGUUCGGUGUACGAUAUACACGGACCACAAGAUCUUGAAGUAUUUGAUGGAUCAGCCCAAUCUGAAUAUGCAGCAGAUGAGAUGACUAGAUGUAGUAAACGAUUAUGAUUGUGAGAUCCUGUACCACCCGGGCAAGGCUAAUGUGGUAGCUGAUGCCCUGAGCCGUAGGGCGGAGGGCGCCCCGAUUCGAGGGGCCCAGGCGGAGGCCGUGAGACCGGAGAACCGCAAGAGAGAGCGAGUGAUCGGGCAGGUAUCGGAGUUUGUUACCGAUGGUCGAGGAGUUAUGACCUUCCAGGGUCGGGUUUGGGUACCGUUUAUGGGGGGAAUGCGUACCGUCUUGAUGGAGGAGGCGCAUAAAUCAAAGUUCUCGAUCCACCUAGGGGCCACUAAGAUGUAUUUGGACCUGAAGAAGGAGUAUUGGUGGCCCUGUAUGAAGAAGGAUGUUGCAUGGUUUGUGGAGAGGUGCUUGAUCUGUCGUAAGGCUAAGGCCGAGCACCAACACCCGCAUGUUAAGUUACAGCCGUUAGAGGUUCCCGAGUGGAAGUGGGAAGAAAUCACCAUGGAUUUUAUCACCAAAUUGUCGAGGACUGCCAGGGGUGUCGAUGCGAUUUGGGUGAUUAUGGACCGGUUGACGAAGAGCGCUCACUUUCUUGCUAUCAGUGAGAGCUCCUCUGCUGAAAGGUUAGCAGAGUUAUACGUGAGGGAGGUGGUAUCACGGCAUGGAGUUCCGAUCUUGAUUGUUUCAGACCGAGAUGUGUGUUUUACUUCCAGAUUUUGGAAGAAGUUCCACGAGGAAUUGGGUACGAGGCUGCAUUUCAGUACCGCAUACCACCCACAGACCAACGGGCAGAGCGAGCGGACAAUCCAGAUGCUCGAGGACAUGCUUCGGGCAUGUGUAUUGGAUUUCGGCGGAAGUUGGGACACGUAUUUACCGUUGGCUGUUUUUUCCUAUAACAACAGCCAUCACUCGAGCAUUGGUAUGCCACCUUUUGAGUUGUUGUAUGGAAGGAGGUGUCGUACCCCCAUUUGUUGGGGCGAGGUAGGGCAGUGUGUCAUGGGUAGUACAGAGAUAGUGAUUCAGACGACAGAGUAGAUACAACAGGUCCAACAGAGAUUAUUGACCGCUCAGAGCCGCCAGAAGAGUUACGCGGAUAGGCGACGAUCCGAACUCGAAUUUCGGGUCGGCGAUUUCGUGCUCCUGAAGGUAUCUCCUUGGAAAAGAGUGAUUCGAUUCAGGAAAAGGGGCAAGCUGGGACCCCGGUAUAUUGGGCCGUUCAGAGUGAUCGCACGGGUGGGCAGGGUAGCGUAUCGCUUGGAGCUACCUCCGGAGUUGGACCAGAUUCAUGACACCUUCCACGUAUCGCAGCUGAGGAAGUGUAUUGCCAAUGAGUCGGUAGUGGUGCCAUUAGAUGAUAUCCAGGUCGAUGUGAGUCUGAAUUAUGCUGAGAAGCCGAUCACAAUCUUGGAUCGGAGGAUCAAGGUUCUGAGGAGCAAGGAAGUGCCCCUAGUUUAGGUUCAGUGGCAACAUCGGAAGGGGUCCGAGCUGACCUGGGAGCCGGAGUCGGAAAUGUGGGAGCAACAUCCAGAGUUGUUCACAGCGUGAGACUUCGAGGGCGAAGUCUGGUUCUAGUGGGGGAGAAUUGUAACAACCCGAAUUCCAGGUUAGCUUUAUGGCCCUUCUAUUUUGGUGAAUUGGCAUUUUAGUCCCUUGAAGUUGAAAAGAUGAUUUGGUGAGUACGUUGGGCGUACUGGGGCAUACGCCGCGCGUACUCAUGCGCUUAAUUCAUACGCGUGUUCAUCCGGGUACGUUGGGCGUACCCAAGGUUACGCCGGGUGUAACCGACCCAGAUGCAAAACCCUAAUUUGUGGCCUUGCACUAUAAAAAGAACAUGUAGUCCUUUGCCCUAGCCACCAUGCACCCUUGAGAGAACCCUUAGAGAGCUGAGGUUCGUGCUUUAGCUGGUGUGUGAGUUUUUGAGCUUGAAGUUGUCUUUGCAAGGUGAAGAAGGAGAAGAGGAAGCCAUUGUUGGAGCUAGAAGUUGAAGAACUAGUAUAGAUCUGAGUUUUUCAGUGGUUGGAGAUCCUUCCUGGGGUAAAAAGCUCAAAGCUUUCCUUGUUCUUCAUAAGCUUUGCUUGUUGGACCAUUUGUUAGGGUUUUGGUUCAAAGUUGGAGACUUUAUGUGCAAAGAGUCUCCAUGAGUUUGGAUCUGACCUUUUCUAGUGUAAAAUGUAUUGAGGAGUCAUAAAAAUCGAGUCUUGGAUGUGGAUCUUGUGGCAUGCAUGAGUUAUAGUCACAUUAUGGAAAGAGGAAGGGUGUUUUGAGCACAAAGUGAUCUUUACAGCCAUGCAAAGGCUUAAAGGUUCCAACUUUAUGGUUUAAGACGUAUUAGAGGGGUCAGAUCUAAAGUUUGGAUGCAAGUCUUAACCGUUUAAGACCCGAAUAAGUUGAACAAAGAAACUGGGCAUUACGCUAGGCGUAAUCCCAGUACAUGCCGCGUAAGGGGUUGCGUACCCCGUUUCUGGAAGCAAGAGUACGCCCCGCAUACAGGAGCUGGUACGCCCCGCGUACUGCUUGCUGUUGACUUUUAGGGUUUUAGUCAACAUGUGGACUUUUGGGGCCAGGGAGGGGUAAAAUAGUCUUUUACCCUUCUGUUGAAUUUAGAAGGAAUAUGGUAUAGCCUUGCGAGCCGUUAUUGAUUUAGAAUGAUUAUUUGAUGUGAUUAGGCGAGGCUAGGUCAAGGUUACGAGAUUCAGAAAUAUCGAGCACGUGAGACUUAGACAUCAUAAGAGGUGAGUCUUCUCACUAUACUGUACCUGGAAGGGUAUCUAUGUGUGACCGGAAGGUCUGGUAUGCUAUAAUAUAUAUGAAUUAUAUGUGAAGUUGCCUGUUUUGUAUGCGUUAUGUAUGCUAUGCUUGAUAUGGGCCGGAAGGCAAUAUGUUAUGGGCCGGAAGGCAUCAUGCUGUGGACUGGAAGGUCGACACAGGUGGGACCGGAAGGUUUACCGGGUCGGGACGGAAGUUCCCUGAGACACAUGGACCGGAAGGUCAUGGCCUGGAAGGGCGUAUGUGUGUAAGUGGUAUAUUAGGGAACUCACUAAGCAUUUAUGCUUACAGUUGUGGUGUUAUGUGUUUCAGGUACUAGCGAGGACCGUGGGAAGGCACCGUCAUGACUCGUACACACACACAUGCAGUCAGAUUUGGAUUUGUUUGAUCUUGGUAUUUGACAUGUUUUGUAUUAUGAUUAUGAUACAUGGGAUUUUUAUGGUUGGAUUUGGAUGAAAAUAUGUUUUUAAGAAAUGAAAAAUUGUUUUGAAAAAAUCACGUCGUUACAUGAUGCAUCUUCACUUCGUACAAAUCCAAACUCUUUGACCUUCUCAUCAAAGCAAAGAUUCCAUCUGCGGGAUGCUUGCUUAAGUCCAUAAAUGGAAUUUUCAAGCUUGCACACUCUAUUAGGAUGCUUCAGACUGACGAAAACCUCUGGCUAAGCCAUGUAAACAUCCUCAGCCAACUUCCCAUUAAGGAAAGCGGUCUUGACAUCCAUCUGCCAUAUCUCAUAAUCAUGAAAUGAAACAAUGGAUAUCAUCACCCUAAUAGAUUUUAUCUUAGCAACUAGUGAGAAGGUCUCAUCAUAGUCAACUGCGGGAGUUUGAGUAAAGACCUUCGCCACCAAUCGUGCCUUAUGCAUGUGCACAUUCCCAUCCAUGUCGGUCUUCUUCUUGAAGAUCCAUUUGCACCUAACCGUCUUACGUUCGUGCACAUUGUCAACCAAAUUCCAAACUUGGUUGUCAUACAUGGACUGAAUCUCACUGUCCAUCGCCUCUUUCCAUUUUGCAGACUGUGGGCCUGCCAUGGCUUCCUUAUAGCUAUUAGGUUCAUCUAGAUUUAUUAGUGUACCAUCACUAAUAUACGUGUCCCCUUCGGUAGUAAUAUGAAAAAAAUAAAACUGUGGUUGAACUCUAACUCUUUCGGAACGUCUAAGAGGUAAGGACUCGUCAAUCGGUUCAACCGGAGUUUCCUCCUCGGGUUGAGCGCCAGCGUUAGAGGUUCCUUCAUCACUCGACUCUUGAAUCUCUUCAAGAUCGACUUGCCUCCUACUGUCCCCUUGGCUUAUGAGUUCCUGCUCUCUGAAAACCCCUCUCCUUGCAACGAAGAAAACAUUGUCACUCGGUCUAUAGAAGAGAUACCAAAAGGAUUUCUACGAGUAGCCGAUGAAAAUACAUCGCUCACUACAAGGUUCGAGCUUGUUGUGAGUCUCUCGUCUUACGAAAACCUCACAACCCCAAACCUUGAUAUGUGCCAACGAGGGAGCUUUCCCUGUCCACAUCUCGUGAGGUGUUUUGGCAACCUUCUUUUUAGGGACUCGGUUAAGGAUGUGGGCGGCAGUCUCUAAGGCAUACCCCCAGAAUGAGAUAGGUAGUGAAGCACGACUCAUCAUAGAACGAACCAUGUCCAACAGGGUUCGAUUACGCCUUUCUGCCACACCAUUCAACUGUGGUGUCCUAGGUGAUGUCAAUUGCGAAACUAUUCCGCAUUCCUUGAGAUAGUCAUGGAAUUCAAGACUAAGGUACUCUCCACCUCGAUCGGAUCGAAGCAUCUUGAGUUUCCUUCCCAAUUGAUUCUCCACUUCAUGUUUGAAUUCUUUGAGUUUUUCAAACGUUUCUGACUUGUGCUUGAUUAAGUAAAUAUACCCAUAUCUACUAUAAUCAUUGGUGAAAGUCAUGUUGAAGCGGUUCCUAUCCUUUGUGGUGGAUCUAAAGGGCCCACACACGUCGGUGUGUGUGAGAUCCAAUAAACCCUCACCCCUCUCACAAGUGCCAGUGAAGCGUGAAUUGGUCAUCUUUCCAAGUAAACAAGAUUCUCACGUGUCAUCUUCCCUAAGGUCAAUUGACUCCAACACUCCAUCCUUUUGGAGUUGGGCUAUGUGCUUCUUGUUGACAUUUCCAAGACGACAAUGCCACAAGGAUGCUUUAUCCAUACUAUUGGAAGAAUCCAUACACAACACAUCAUUUCCUAGGUUAUCUACAACCAUAAUAGUUUCAUAAAUUCAAUUACAUGGCAUUGCUUCAAAAUAUAAAUCACCAUUUAGAUAUGCAUAAAUCGAACCAUUCUCAUUAUUAAACGAAUAUCUAAAUCCUUAUCUAAACAAACCAUGAAAAGAAAUGAUGUUUCUUUCCAUAUCUGGCGAGUAGCAACAAUUAUUUAAAUCUAAAUUCAAUCCAUUACUAAGUACUAAAUAAUACACUCCAAUCUUGGUAAUAGGCGACGAUCUUCUGUUCCCCAUGAUUAGAUUUAUUCUUCCAAGCUCCGCAUCCCUAUUUCUUCCUAGUCCUUGCAAAUCAGAACAAAUAUGGUAACCACACCCUGUAUCAAGAACCCAAGAAAUAGCAUGGGAUGAAUUAUUAGAUUUAAUUGUGUAUAUACCUGCAAAAGAUGGCUUGAUCUUUCUAUCCUUGAUGGCUUGCAGAUAUUCCGGGCAACUUCUCUUCCAAUGCCCUAUUUUGUGGCAAUGAUGGCAGUCUACCUCCUUUGGGUUAGGGUUGGGCUUAGCAGGAUCAACCUUGGUCCCACUAGAAGAGGAACAAUCUUGGGACUUUCCCU